rnacentral:lncRNA from 1 species
UUUUUUUUUCUAUUUAACAACUAAUUAAACGCGUUAGUUCAGAUCUGAACAGAAUUGUAAAUUAACAUGUCAGGUCGUCUGAGAGAUGCUAUAUGUCAUUUCCGACCUCAUUUAAAAUGCCUAGAUAGGUAGUUUAAUUGCGCUUCACCUCUUGCCAUGUUUAACAACAUUUAAUAUUGCCGUGUACCUAAUCGAGAUAGAACUAAAUAAUCUGUAUGUGGAGUUUCGUCAAUAUGCAAUGCGUUGCAUAUUGAACUUCACUUAAUGUGUAGUGUUUGGUUGUUGUGAAUUGUCAUGCCGUGACUUGCAUGUAUUCUUUUGUUCAUGCAUCAUAUGUGAUGUGCAUCGUGUGGUGAAUAUUGUGUGUUGAUGCUUGUUUCCGUUUUCCUCCGUCUCGUUAGAGUUCCGCAAGCGUGUCGGAUGUGAGGACCGUUCGACUACAUCGGUUCAUCUGCUUCACGGAGUCGUUCUUCUUUCAAGCGGGAUCUCAGGCAAGAUGACCAUUUCCCCAGAUACCAUUACUAUCAUUGCCAUGCUAGUUUUACCGUUUCUAUCGUUUAUGUCUCGUUGCCUACCACAUGUUAAAUAUCAGCCUCCCAACAUUGCCAUGUAAACCUUCAACCUAUUCACAACCUAGCUAACCACUGAUUGGCUAUGUUACCGCUUGCUUAACCCUGUGUUAGUGUUGCUAGUUGCAGGUGCAGUUGCUUCCAUGUGAUAACAUGGGUUCCUUGUUAUAUCACCAUAUUAAUGCUAUUUAAUUUAAUGCACCUAUAUACUUGGUAAAAGGUGGAAGGCUUGGCAUUUCUAGCCUGGUGUUUUGUUCCACCUUUGCCCCCUUAGUUUCGGCUACCGGUGUUAUGUUCCAUAAUUGAGCGCUCCUAACACGAUCGGGGUUGUUAUGGGGACCCCCUUGAUAAUUCGUUUUAGAUUAAAGUUGGUCUGGCAAGGCCCAACGUUGGUACUAUUUGCCCAACAUAGUAAUUUUGUUAACACUGAAAUGCAUAGGGAGUUAGCGCUACCCGAGGAGUAAUUCUACAUAAUACAGGGAGGACUAGUGUUGAUGGUGCUGGUCCAAAAUAGAGCACUAUGCGGGGCCAACCCAGGGCAACUUGGGUGAUUUCUAUCAGGCCACCGUAUGCGUCGCUCAUCGGUCGUGUCCUGAGAAUGAGAUACGUGGCUCCUAUCAGGAUCGUCGACAUGCCGGGCGGCCUUGCUGGAUUAGUUUUACCUUUGACGAGAUAUCUUGUGCAUCGGGAUUCCGGUGAUGCUUUGGGUAAUCUCAGAGUUGAGGUUUUCCACUACGGAGUCCUACGAGAUCGCGAGCUUCGUGAUCGAGGAUUUCUAUGCGGCUUGUGGUAAUUUGUGAUGGACUAGUUGGAGCACCCCUGCAGGGUUAAAUCUUUCGGAAAGCCGUGCCCGCAGUUAUGUGGCAACGUGGAAACUUUGUUUAACACUGGUUCUAUACAACUUGAAGUUAACUUAAUUGAAAUAUGCCAACUGUGUGCGUAACCGUGACUGUCUAUUUCGUGAGUUCCUUCUCCCAUCGAGGACAUGGUGGGGUUGUGUCUGACGUAGUUAGGUGUUGAGGAUCAUUCAUUUGAUCAUCAGUAGUUACGUCCGUUAUGCGUAGUUCUACCCUCCUCUUAUUUCUUGUACUCUUAAGUUUAACCACCUCAUAUAUGCUUAGCCGCUGCUGCAACCUCACCACUUAACCAUACCUCACCCAUUAAGCUUUGCUAGUCUUGAUACCUUUGGAAAUGAGAUUGCUGAGUCCCCUGUGGCUCACAGAUUACUACAACACCAGUUGCAGGUACAGGUAAAGGUUACUUGACGUGAGCGCGUUGAUUGUUCAUUUGGAGUUGCUUCUUCUUCUUCUUCUUCAUCGAUCUAGGAUGGGUUCCGGGCCGGCAGCCUGGGAUAGCAAGGAUGGACGUCGUUCUUCUUUUCUCGUUUGAUUUCGUCCAUAGUCGGACCCUGCUCUUCUUCAUGAUGUUAAUGUAUGGUAUUGUUGUGACUCUGAUGUAGCUUGUGGCGAGUGUAAGCCAAUUCUAUAUAUAUACAUCUUCUUUUCAGUACAUGUACUUGUAACGGUAUCCAUUCUUGCGACACAACAAGAUGCGCUUCUAUCCCUGACGAGGCCCUCGUGCCAAAUUGAGGAUAGGGUCGCAUCUUGGGCGUGACAAGUUGGUAUCAGAGCAGUACUGUCGUGGUUUUGUCACAGCAGAUGUCCUCGUGAAAGGACUUGAUGAUGGAGCCAUCGCACCUUGGUGGCGACUCAAAGGGGGUGAGCGAAAGCGAGACACAGAUUUACCCAGGUUCGGCCCCUCCUGAGGAGGUAAAAGCCUACGUCCUGCUUUGUGUAGAUUAAUGGUGGUUUCGAUUACAAGGAGGGCGUAACUCGCGUGACCUAGCUCUCGAUUCUCUCUAACCCGCCUGACCUUUCCCUGGGACUCGCCUUUAUAUACAGGUCAAGGCCCUAGGGUUUACAAAGUCCUGCUCUCCUACUCUUGGUAGUUUUCCUUAUCUCUAAGUCGUCGUGCUCUCCACGACCAGGAGCUUCCUUGGCGCUCCAUCAUCCACAUGGUCUUCUUGAACCGCCCUACCAUUCCCGGGCCGCUGGACGCAUGAUCUAAGGUGAGUCGCCCCUUUGGUGACCUGGCCCAUUAAGGGCGGGUUACCCACAGGUAACAUCCCCAACAUUAGGCCCUAGAUUGUCGUGAAUUCAUUCGUGUCAAUAAACUCCCUUCAACCUUGGGGCGACUCUCCUCAUUUCCAACCUUCGACGAACGUUGAGCCGCCAUUCGUGGCACUCUAAUCUGAGUCGCCAUACAGUAUUUAAUGGGUGUCGCCUCGUCUCCUCGGUUCCAAUCCCCAAACACUGUAACUGUCAGCGAAUCUUUCGCCCAUAAUUGCUUAUCCCGAAAAUCUAGGCGUCAGCAUUGCGUUUACUGACUUGUCGCCUCGAUUCCCGCAUUGACAGCCUCGUUCUCCGUUCCUGCUCUUUAAAUAGUAAGGGAAAUGGGGGAGAGAAGCCUCGUCGGCAACCCCCAUCCCACCUUCGUCUGCAUAUUCGUCUCCGCGCACCGGCUUCCCGGCAUCAUCCCCGAACUCCAGCAUCCCGGCGUCAUCCUCGGCUCCAGCGCCCGGCGUCAUCCCCAGCUCCCGGAGUCUUUCCCCAUCGACCGCGCUCUCCGGGCGGCAAGGAACAUGAAGCUCCGAGCCUUUGUUCCCGGCGGCGAUCCCCUGUUGCCAGGUACACUCCUUCCCUCUCUUAGGUGUAGACCGAGAACUCCAUGGCCGUAGCUCUCCUGCCAUCCAGCUCCAUAGCAGGAUGAACACCUCGAACUAUGUUAGAUCUGCUCCCCGUUGCAGCGAUUAGCUUUAGAUUGCAACAGGCAUCGACCAUUUUAAUCACGGCCUCCCACUAGUUCAAACCCAUAUUCUGUUGACCAACACUGUAGUUGUACUAUAUGCGCAGUUCAUCGCCAUUACUUCAGACGAUAUUUUCUUAUUUUAAUCUGUCCGUAGAUCCAUAGCUUACUGCCUGUCCAUAGAAACAUGUUUUUUCACCCAUUGAGAAUAUCUCUAAGGACAAGAACGUUUCCGAGAGUCGCCUUUUAACUUCAGCCUUCAUGGCGACUCAGUUUUAUUACUGUAGUCAGGACGCCUUUUCUUUCAGUCUGGAGGGCGAGUUAGAACAACCCCCGAAGGUACACUCGUAGAUCGCCCAGAUGACGGACUGCGAUGCACGUUAACUAUUGGGCGAGUUAUCAAACCCUUUGCGAACACCAUAGACCCGUAUCAGCGAGUUAGAAUAUUUUCUAAUCUUUUGCUGAGCCGCCUCGCACUCCGUUUUUUUGUAGUCAUGGCUAUUACGAAAUGUGACUGGUUGCCGACGAAAGUCGACGAUGCCACGCUCUAGAAAUAUGUUAAGGCGGGUAUCCUUGACAGUAAGGAGACUCUCGGUUGGAGAACCGCCCCGGGCGAGCUGAUUCCCAACCCCGCUCGAGGAGAACUAGUGAUCUUCACCGACUAUCUUGAGCGUGGAUUCAAGCCGCCCGAGUCAAAGUUUUUCCAGGACGUCCUGCAUUUUCUCAACCUCCAUCCUCAAGACCUAGGACCCAAUUCCAUCAGCAAUUUAUGCCAGUUCCAGGUCUUCUGUGAAGUGUAUUUGCAGAGAGAACCCAUGAUCCCCCUGUUUUGGAACUUCUUCCACUUAAACCGCCAGACCGAGUUCCCCAAUGGUCCCAACCACGAGCCUGGAAGAGUUAACAUCCAGAGACGCCACGAGCAUGGAUUCCCGGCAGUCCUUUUGCCCAACCACCCUAAAGGAUGGGGCGAGUCAUGGUUCUAUUGCCGAGAUACUUCUCCACUAGGCGAGAACCCUCUUCCGGGUUUCAGAGCAGACCGCUUGCCAAUGGAUUUCAAAUUUCCUGACAAGCUCACCGAAGAAGAAGAGUCGGAGUUCAUUCCACUCUUUUCAGAUCUGAAAUUCGUGUACAACAACGGGCUCAUCGGGAUCGACCUGUUCCGCUGCUAGAUAGAGUGGAAUAUCCUCCCCUUGAGCCGCCGCAACAGGUUGAUGUAUGAUUAUGAUGGCACUUUAGAGCAUCCACAACGCGCCAGUCACCGCCAACUUUCAGAGAGCGAAAUCGUCGGAGUCAUCAAGAGAUUAACCGACGAGUCUCUGGAAGAGUGUGCCAAGAUCGGCCUUAAAGGCUUCUGUCGUGCCAACCUGGUGCCACCAGUAAGAAUCUAAGCUGUCACUUGUCUUGUUUAUACUUAGCAACCUUCAUGGUUAAAGACCUGCCUCUGUUUAUCAGAAAACCGAUGUGUUUUGGCGGAGGGGUCCCAAAACCGCCCCCCCAAAGUCCACCAAGGUGCCAACCAAGAAGAAGAAGAUGGUGAGCAGGAAGAAAACCGCCACCAAAGAUUCAUCUUUUGUUGGCGACUCUCAUGCAGACGAGGCAAAUUCUGAGGUAAGGCUUUUUCCUUGUCCCUUCUCUAUAUGUUCUGACUUAAGCUUAUACCAUAUAUCUUAUCAUGUAGGGUGAUGACGAUGAGAGCAAGAAUGAUGCAGUCGAGGUAAUUUCCAUUUCAUUCGACUCACCUUCUUCUUCCCCUAGACCAGCCAGGCGGAUCUGCGGAAAAGUGCCCAUAUGUCAUCCUCAUGCUUAUAUGGACCCUAAUUUCCUUUUGAAGAAAGCAAGAUUCACCUCCUCUCGCAAGACCCGCAGUCGCUUUGGCGACUUGGUCAUUGGACUACCCGAGAAGACGAGCGGUCGGAAACGGACCAGUGAGGUACGCCUUUGUCUUGUUAUAUCUUUUGACGUGUGAAAUAUAACCCGCCAUUUUUGUGACCUUCAAGUCUUUGUCCUGUCAGACUUCUCCUCCUACAUCUGGCGACUCGGCCAUCUCUGCUCUCCCGCCGAUGGUUCGCGUACAAGGGUAAGUCUUCGCUGUUAACCCAAGCUUUCUAAACAAUAACAUGUGCUUUUAACCUUGGCGCUUUAUCGCAGGGCACAAGCGAAGAAGGGGAAAACCGGCGACUCUCCUUCUGCACAAUAAACAUCUGAUGCCUUAGGCACGGGCACAUCUGUUCCUGAGGCUGAAGGGGAGCAAAAGGCGGCUUGCGACAUUCCUCCAGGCGAUAUUCCCGACGCCCGGGAUGACUCGCCCGUCAUUUUGAAAGAGACCGCUGGUCAGAGUAACCCGCCAAGCCCUCUCAAGGCGACCGACGACCCAGACGUCGUGGUUACCAGCUUUGGCUACUCUACUCCCCCAACUGUCGUGCUCUCCAAACAUACUUCGAAGGCAAGUCGCUUUUCCCCUGAUGGCGACUCAGAACCCCUCAAACUUCCUCAAUACGAGAAGCUGGAAUUCGACCAGCUAUGCUCCAGCUUCACAACUCACUUGGAGAAGGAUUUUGAGCUGAACAAAAGCCUGCUCCGCCUUAUGAGGACCAAACACGAGGUAUGCGGAUAUAUGUUCCUAUACUCAUUAGCCUUCCAAGGGCCAGGUCAUCUUUUUUCUAGAUGAGCCGGGUCUUUGCAUUAGAAAACUUCAACCUGUAGCCCCCAAGGGUUGGGUCAUCUUUUUUGAAGAUGAGCCGGGUCUUGUAAUUGAAAACUUCAACCUGUAGCCCCCAAGGGUCGGGUCAUCUUUUUUAGAAGAUGAGCCGGGUCUUGUAAUAGAAAACUUCAACCUGUAGCCCCCAAGGGUCGGGUCAUCUUUUCAGAAGAUGAGCCGGGUCUUGUAUGUGGUAUAACUUUUUGAUAAAAAAUCACACAUUAGCCCCCAAGUGUCAGGAGUAUUGCUUGCAAAAAUUCUGAGACUUGUCUCCCCAAAUAUUAUGUGCAGGAGUCUAUGGCCCAGAGUGAGGCGGCGGUAGCCGACUUAAAGAAGAACUUGGCUAGUCAACAGCAUGCUUACUCCAGGCUGGAGGCUAAAUUCCGCUUGCUGCAGGCCGAUUUAGAAAAAAUGAAGGUUGACGAGGAGAAAUUUGAGAAGAAAGCCAAUGCUGACCAAGCCGCCAUCUUGAAGCGUGCUCAACAAGCAGAAGAGAAACUGGAAGCCGCCCAACAGGAGCUGACUCGGUUAAAGAAGCAUGUAUCCAAUAUGACAGUCAUCAUGUUUGGUAAGCUUGAUCGUUGAACUCUUUUGACUAACCAGGUUGGGAUCAAAAAUCUCCAAAUACUUAUGUCCCUGUUGCAGGUGCCCGAGCCGUCAAGCUACCAGACGACUGUAUGACUAAAUUGAGAGCCAUAUACACCUUUGCUGAGCAGCUGUACAUGGGAGGCGUGUUAUCAAUCAAGGCAGUGAUGGGCAGUAAGGGACCAACAAUGACCACCGAGCAAAUGCUCGGCUUCUUGUCCACGCUGCCUCCUCAAGUAGAAGAAUUAAAGAGAUCGGCCGCCCGAACAGGUGUGUUGAACACCCUAAGUUAGUGCCUUGCAUAAGCCCCGGAGCUCAAAACCGAGGAAAUAGUCGCCGGCUACCCUAAGAUCAAGGUCGAUGGGCCAGAAUGCACCGAGGUGGAUUAUCAGCGGACCAUCCUAGAAUCUCGCUAUGUGGCGACUCAACUAGCGGCGAGUUUGGAUCUGAAGAAGUAUCAAGCCGCCUAUGAUGAAAACAAAAAGAAGGUGACGCCUCCUUCAUAUCAAAUUGCUAGCCUGGUUCCCAGCCGCCCCAGGAAUCCUUUUAAUCUUGACUUGGACGUUUCUCACUUCCUCGCUGAGGAAGACGAGUUCAUCGCCUUGUCCAAGUGUAACUGGAAACUGGGUGACUUAUGAAUUGAAGGCGGAGAAAGCUCAAGGCAAGGCGACUCGGCGGCGGCUUGACUCGCCCAUGGAUCCUUCCUUUGCUGGGAAUCAUACCCAUUUUGGCCAUGGGAGCCAUGUAAUUAUCUUGCUAGUGUGUGUGAAACACCAAACAUGCCAUAUUGUCUUUUGGAUGGAACCAUUUGUAGUCCCUGAACCUUUUCAUGACUCGCCUGCAACUUUUUCAUAAACUCAGAAAUGGCUCCAAAUUUGUCCUGGUCUGUUAGGAAAACAGUAGCUUACUUCAGCAAGUGUAUGUCCAGGAAUAAACCAGCCCCCUAAAUCUUGGCGAGAGAUAAAUCAGCCCCCGGGUUAGGGAAAAACAUGAACCAAGGCGAGUUAUAAUCAAGACCAGUUCAAAGGAAAAUUUUAUCGACUCAAUGAGUUUCGAUAGGAUAAGACGAGCCUGCAUAACUCUAGUGUUACCCUUAGGAAGCUUUUUCAAAAAAGCCUUGUUAUUUUAGACCGGCUGAUCAGGCGCGAGUCAAGCAUCUAUGAAGCAGGUUCAAUGAACCAAUGGUUUCUCUAUUUUCCAUGUGUGACUCUGGCCGGUACCUUUUAUGUUUUAACCAAGGCGAGUUUAGGGUCCAAAUAACGGAUUGACUCGCCUCGAGUACAUAGGUCCGUGUGGCGACUUGUUCAACACAUAGUCCAGUAUAACCAUUUGUAAUGCGGUAAUUUUUUGCUAGCCAAGAGGGUAUUCAGGCUGAACUCAAUGAGUGGAAGCCCCCAAGUGACUUAUGGUUGAGGAAGAAACCAGGCAUAGGAUUACAGAAGCGUAUACGCUCUUACUGUAAAACAACUUGGGGACUUGUAGCCCCCUGAGUAAGCCGGUUCACUUCUCAAAACCAUAUAAGGCGCCUAUGUUUGAACCAUGCAACAUGGCAAUUUUUGGUCCUCUUUGGCUUAACAGCAUCCAGUUUUGAAAUAAGUGCAGCAUGGCGACUUAUGCUCUCUGAUGCUGAUAGCGUCCAUGUUUGGGCGACUUAUAGAACAAUAAAGACUCGUGCUUUCAAAAGUUGAAAUGGCAAAGGACCCCGAAAUUCGUGGGUGCCGGCUUUAUUGCUUUCAUAAUUCAUUGGUUACAAAAAACUUGAUAAAAGAAGAAAGGGAGCUCAUGGCUCUAUGUAUAGUAAGGCCGCAGAUGGGCUAUGUUCGAGGGGCGAAUUGUGUCAACCUCCGUAGUUGGCCGAUCUGGACGAAGAUCCAUCAAAUAGUAGGAGCCGUUCCGAAGAUUCUUGCUGACGACAAAUGGUCCCUCCCAUGGAGGUGACAACUUGUGCAUACCGGUAUGAUCUUGAAUCAAACGGAGCACUAAGUCGCCUUCUUGGAAAGCUUGACUCUUGACCCGGCGGCUAUGAUAACGACGUAAAUCCUGUUGGUAAAUCGCCAACCGUGACGCGGCCAAGUCACGUUCCUCCUCCAAAGCGUCCAGCGAGUCUUGCCGUGCUGACUCGUUGUCCUGCUCCACGUAAGCGGCGACUCGCGGAGAAUCAUGUUUGAUGUCGCUUGGUAACACCGCCUCCGCCUCGUAGACCAGAAAGAAAGGAGUAAAACCUGUGGAGCAGUUUGGAGUCGUCCUGAUACUCCACAGAACUGAUGGCAAUUCCUCAACCCAAAAUCCUGGCGUGCGUUCCAAGGGCACCAUGAGUCGGGGCUUAAUCCCUCGUAAUAUUUCCUGAUUCGCCCUCUGUGCCUGUCCAUUAGACUGGGGGUGCGCCACCGCGGAAACAUCAAGUCGGAUAUGUUCUCGUGAGCAGAACUCUUGCAUUGCACCUUUGGAAAGGUCGGUACCAUUGUCUGUAAUGGUACUAUGUGGAUAUCCGAACCGGAAAAUUAGCUUCUUCAAGAAUUUGACAGCCAUCUCGGCGUCACAACUGCUAACAGGUUCUGCUUCCACCCAUUUGGUAAAUUUGUCAGCCGCCACCAACAGAUGAGUCCUUUUAUUAGACGACAUUUUGAAAGGGCCGGCCAUAUCGAGCCCCCAGACUGCAAAUGGCCAGGUGAUUGGUAUCAUCCGUAGUUCCUGAGCCGGCACAUGCAUCUGACGCCCAAACUUUUGGCGGCCAUCACAUCGGCGAACAAUCUCCUCCGCGUCUGUGUGAGCCGUCAACCAAUAAAACCCAUGCCUGAAGGCUUUAGAAACCAAGGAUCGGGAUCCAACAUGAUGACCACAGUCGCCCGUAUGAAUCUCAUUGAGGAUCAUACAACCUUCCUCAGAAGAAACGCAUAUUUGAAAUACUCCUGAGGUGCUUCGCCUAUGUAACUCGUCAUUAUGUAUGACCAUAGAUUUGCUCCGACGGACAACUUGGCGAGCUAGCAGCUCGUCGGCAGGUAACUCGCCUCUGGUGAGAUACGCCAUGUAGGGAAUCGCCCAAUCCGGAGUAGCGUGAAGAGCCGCCAGGUCUUCUUCCGAAGGCAGUUUUACAGACGGGUUAUAUAAUAUAUACAAAAAGACAUUGGGGGGAACCGGCUUACGCUGCGAACCAAGGCGGGAAAGAGCGUUCGCUGCUUCGUUAAGCCGUCGAUCGAUGUGAUCCACUUGAUAGCCACUGAAAUGACCCGCCACAUCCGACACAGCCCCUCUGUAAGCCGCCAUCAAAGGGUCUCGUGAAUCCCAAGUGCCAGAAACCUGCUGCGCCACCAGAUCGGAAUCGCCCAAGCAUCUCACUCUCGUGAGGUUCAUCUCCUUGGCGAGUCGCAAACCAUGAAGCAGAGCUUCGUAUUCUACUGCAUUGUUAGUACAUGAAAACAUGAGUCUGAGGACAUAGCAAAACUUGUCACCGUGAGGCGAAGUUAUCACCACGCCAGCCCCCGAGCCUUCCAACUGUCUGGACCCAACAAAGUAAACGGUCCAAUAUGUAAGAUCUGGUCUUUCCUCAGGGAUUUGUAACUCGGUCCAAUCAUUAAUGAAGUCCACGAGCGCUUGAGACUUGAUAGCUGUAUGAGGUGUAUACUGAAUCUGAUGAGGACCCAUCUCGAUGGCCCAUUUAGCAAUCCGUCCAGUGGCUUCUCGGUUAUGUAUGAUAUCGCCGAGGGGAGCGGAGCUAACGACCAUGACCGGGUGUUCCUGAAAGUAAUGCUUCAACUUUCGACUCGCCAUGAAUACCCCAAAAACCAAUUUUUGCCAAUGCGGGUAAUGUUGCUUGGAGAGGGUAAGGACCUCGCUAAUGAAAUACACCGGCCUUCAGACGGGGUAUUCCUUCCCUUGCUCCUUUCGCUUGACAACUAUUGCCACGUUAACUGCUCUGGAAUUGGCUGCAAUGUACAGGAGCAUAGGUUCUUUGUCUGCCGGAACCACAAGCACCGGCGGGUUAGCUAAUUGCUGCUUCAAGGCUUCGAAAGCAUCGUUGGCCUCAUCUGUCCAUACGAAACGAUCGGUCUUCUUGAGCAGCUGGUAGAGAGGGAUGGCCUUCUCCCCAAUGCGACUUAUGAAACGGCUCAAGGCCGCGAUUCGACCCGCCAUGCGUUGUACUUGGUUAACGUUGGCUAGUUUCCCAAGCGAAGUAAUCACUGGAAUCUUCUGUGGGUUGGCCUCGAUUCCUCGUUCUAACACCAAGAAGCCCAAUAGCUUCCCCGCGGGGACACCAAAUACGCACUUGGUUGGGUUAAGCCUCAUCUGGUAGACACACGGGUUGUCGAAUGUUUCUUUGAGAUCCUCCAACAGCAUCACCUUGCGGUGAGAUCUAACCACAAUGUCGUCCACGUAAGCAUGGACGUUAGGCCUAUCUGGCUGUGUAAGCAGAUUUGGAUGCAGCGCUAGUAAGUCGCCCCCGUGCUCUUAAGCCCAAAUGGCAUGGACACAUAACAGAAAUACCCGAAAGGAGUUAUGAAGGAUGUCUUUUCCUGAUCCGCCACCGCCAUUUUUAUCUGGUAGUAUCCUGAGUAAGCUUCCAAGAAACAUAGACGUUCGCAACCCGCCGUCGAGUCAAUAAUUUGAUCAAUGCGAGGAAGGGCGAACGGAUCCUUCGGGCAGGCUCUAUUAAGGUCUGUAUAAUCGAUGCACAUGUGGAAAGUGUCGUUCUUCUUGAGUACCAAGACCGGGUUAGCCAGCCAUUCCGGGUGAAAAACCUCGAUGAUGAACCCGGCGGCAAGGAGUCGGGCCACUUCUUCUCCAAUCGCCUUACGGCGCUCUUCGUUAAACCGGCGGAGGUACUGACGUACCGGCUUAACCUUGGGGUUAGUAUUGAGAUGGUGCUCAAUGAAUUCUCUCGGCACACCCAGCAUGUCAGAAGGUUUCCAUGCAAAGAUGUCCCGAUUCUCACGGAUGAAUUCGAUGAGUGUGCUUUCCUAUUUGGGGUCAAGACUCGCCCCAAUAGUGAACUGCUUGGUGGAGUCGCCCGGCGUAAAAUCAAUGACCUUGGUGUCGUCUGCUGGUUUGAACUUGAGGGGCGGCUCAGAAUCAAUAGUCGGGUUUUUGAGCGGCGUCAUGUCUGCCGGGUCGACGCGGGAUUGGUGAAAUUUAAGCGCCUCAGCCGCGCAAGCUGACUCGGCAUAGGCGGCAUCACCUUCCUCGCAUUCUUGGGCUAUUUUCCUGUAGCCAUGGACGGUGAUGGGACCCUUGGGUCCAGGAAUCUUGAGCUUGAGAUAAACAUAGCAUGGGCGGGCCAUGAACUUGGCGUAAGCCGGUCGUCCAAACAACGCAUGGUAGGGGCUCUUGAUCUUGACCACCUCGAACAAGAGAGACUCACUCAUGUAGUUUGAUUCCGUGCCAAAAGCCACAUUAAGUUUGAUCCGCCCAAUGGGGUAUGCCGACUUACCAGGCACAAUACCGUGGAAAAACGUGGAUGAUGGCAUCAGGUCCUUAUCGAGGAGGUUCAUCCGCCGGAAAGUGUCGAAGUAUAAGAUGUUGAUGUUGCUGCCCCCGUCCAUAAGGACUUUGGAAAGGGUGUAUCCUCCGACUUGGGGAGCCACGACCAGGGCUAAGUCGCCAGGGUUGUCGACUCGGGGUGGAUGGUCUUCCCGGCUCCAUGUUAUGGGUUGCUCUGACCAGUGAAGGUAUCGAGGAAGCGCCGGCUCAGCUACGAAAGUUUUGUGCUUUACCUUGUGGUCCCAUUUAUAGGUGUUAGUGGUGAACACGUGGUACUACCCGUUGUUCAACUGCUUGGGGUUGUUUUGGAACCCGCCCCGGUCCUCCUGUCGCUGGGAGUCUCCUUGUGUGGGGGGGGGGAUUGUUGGAAUAUUCCCGGUGGGUGAUAUUGCUGGUUAUGAACUUAGAAUUGACCGGCAUUGUGCUGCGACCCGCCCUGUGGUCCUUGGUUGGGGAAGCCCCCGAAUGUGACGUGUCGCGACCCGGACGGGCCGUGUUGCUCCUGCCGCUGGCCCUGCUCGCCGCCUUGACUCCUUUUGAGUGCCUCGGCCCGGAACUCUUGCAUCACAUAGCAAUCCUCCCAUGAGUGAGUCGCCGAUCCAUCAGCUGUGGCGUGCUGCGGGCACGGGCCCUUAAGCAUUUCAUGGUAGUUACGCGGUUUCUUCCCACUGAAGCCCCGUUUCUUCUGACGCGGGUUUGCGUUACCAGUAUUAGUGUUAGCUACAAAUUCCACAGGACCCUCCUGCUGCCGCUUCUUGCCAUGCCCGCCAUGGUGGUUAUUUCCCCGGUUCUGGAACUGGGAUUGGCCCUUUUGUAACUCGCCCUUGCGGGUAGCUCCAGUUUUAUCGUCGCCCUCCCCGGGAUCCUUAGUGCCAUUCGACUUAGCAUAUCUGGUAAGGGCGUCCAUCAGCUCGCCCAUGUUGUGUACAUUUCGCUUAAGUCUCCCUAGUUUCAGCACCACAGGCUCGUAGUGGCAAUUUUUUCUCCAGGAUCAACACCGCCUGAGCCGCCGAAAUACCUUCUGACAAAUGAAUGACUUCCGCAACUCGCCGGUUCCAGUGAUGGGCAGACUCAUCCGGCCGCUGAACGCAGUGUUGUAAGUCGACGAUGGUCAUCGGGCACUUGCAGGUCCCUCUGAAGUUCUUGAUGAAGCGCUCCUUCAGUUCUACCCAAGUGUUGAUAGAGUUGGGCGGCAGGUUUUUCAACCAAGUGCGUGUCAUCCCUUCGAGCAUCAUGGUCAAGUAUUUCACGCAAACCGCCUCGCUAAUGUCCAACAUAUCCAUCGCGAGUUCAUAGCUCUCGAUCCAUGACAUGGGCUCGAGAUCUGGUGAGUAGUUGGGAACCUUCCUGGGUCCUUUGAAGUCCUUCGGCAUGCGCUCGUUGUGCAAAGCCGGCGCGAGACAUGAUACUCCAAUGUGUUUGCCUCCACCAUCCAGGGGCGCGAGCGACGGUGGUACGUAGGCCGGAUAGACCUGACCCGCCAUGGCCGUUGGCUCCAUGUGUCGCGCGGCUCGUGCUGCGUCCACAAUAUCCUGAGCUCGUGUGUCCGGCAUCCCUAGCAGAUCAUGUUGGGGGAGCUGCCGCGGCCAGCUGGUCACUGCGGGGAAAUCCUCAUGGCGACUUCUAGUGUGACUCGCCCGAGGCAUAGAGUGGAGGCGAUCAAGGCUAUGGGAAUACAGCGUGUGCUUAACCACGGCCGUUUUCAGCAUCUCAAUGGCGUUUCUGGCUUCUAUCUCGGCCGGGGUGUUUCCGUAAAUCGGAAGAGACUCCAGGUGGCGGGUUGCAGCCAGCACGUUGUCGACGGGGUUUGAGAAGUGACCUCUCGGUGUCUGGAAUCGAGUCGCAUGAGCAUCCAUGCGCUGAUCCGGCGGUGGAUUGGCUGGUGGAAUUGUUCCUCCCCUCGGGGCGGCUUGCAGAGGCCGAUCAGGACCCGCCCCAGGGGUGCGUGGAGUGUCAAAGAGGCGAGUUGGGUGUAAGUCGGCCGGGACGCGCCCGCCGUGUCUUCUUUGGUGUACAGCGUCGGACGCGCGUUGCUGUAUCCCGAGCUGCCAGCCUUCGGUGUUUAGCUGAUCAGUCUCUGCGGCGACCGCAGCCCGUUGUGUCUCGAUCCUGGCGGCUUCCGCUUCCAUGUCGCGUUGUGCUUUGGCCAUUGCCUCCCGUAGUUUGGUUAGCUCGGCAUUGACCGACUCUUGAUUUUCAGAUGUAACCAGGGUUGCCAUAAGGCUGGCUAUCUCCGCUGCUAGUUCCGUCAUGGUUUGCGCUGGAGGCUUGGACGUUCCUCCGGUCUCGUUGUUGCUAGUCGGGUUCUGAGGAGGCUGCGCUGACCCCGCCAUGUAGAUGGAGAUUUGCCGGGGAGAUCUCUCGAGGACUUCAGGAUCCAUCGCCAGCGAUAGCCCCCCGAGCUGCCCUACCUCAAGGGGGUGGAUCGACGCCGUCUCGCCCAUGGAUGACUCGCCAUCGGAAUUGACGGGGGUGGCGUCCUGGCCUGCCUCUUCGUCUUGCGAGUCGCCCCCCUGCGUAAAGCUGACAAAAACCUGGCGGCUCUUGUUCCGCCGUGUGACGGGGAGGACGUACCUGCCCGGCUCGACGAUGUCGGUGGAGGUGUCCGGCUCAGGAACAGGCGUCCCGAUCAUGCCGAUGAAUAUGUUGAUCUUGCCGAAGGGGACUCGGUAGCCAGAUUCGACGGAAUCGGCCUCCGAUUCCCAUAGUGAGUUGUCGAUGUAGUACCUCCCACGGCGACUCUUAGUCAUGAUGCCGACCGCAUAGCUUUCUAACCCUGAUAGGGCACCCUUCGAGAACUCAACUCCACCGUGCGCUAGACCCACGGUGGGCGCCAACUGUCGUGGUUUUGUCACGGUAGAUGUCCUUGUGAAAGGAUUUGAUGAUGGAGCCAUCACACCUUGGUGGCGACUCAAAGGGGGUGAGCGAAAGCGAGACUCAGAUUUACCCAGGUUCGGCCCCUCGUGAGGAGGUAAAAGCCUACGUCCUGCUUUGUGUAGAUUAAUGGUGGUUUCGAUUACAAGGAGUGCGUAACUCGCCUAACCUAGCUCUCGAUUCUCUCUAACUCGCCGUGCUCCCCACGACCAGGAGCUUCCUUUGCGUUCCAUCAUCCACAUGGUCUUCUUGAACCGCCCUACCACUCCUAGGACACUGGACGCAUGAUCAAAGGUGAGUCGCACCUUUGGUGACCCGGCCAUUAAGGGCGGGUUACCCAUAGGUAACAUCCCCAACAAGUACCGACCUAGGAGCCCCCUUGAUUGAUCGAACUUGGCCGAGUCGAGUCUAGUGAAAACUAUUUGAGUCUUAGUUAUAUAUCGGAGAGUAGGAUUCUUUUUUCUCCUCUUCUAUGCUCUGGUGAGGAAUCUUGACGUAAUAACUUAUUCUACUCCUCUUCUCACUCCAAAAAAAAUUAGGAUCACGCUGAUAUUUUGGAAUCUAUAUGAUGCCGAUGUGACGGAGUUAUGUCUUGGUGCCUCCUGUCUGACUUGAUUUCUUCCGGGGAUUUGAGCUCGAGGGAAUUCUCGAGCACAUCGUUAUCAUUCAGAUUUCUGAGUAUCUCACAACGAAUGAUGUUCGUAAUUGCUUCAAUACUAGUAGUGACGAGAUAACCCCGAUGUCCCUAGUACUGGUGCAUAUUGUUCGGGGGUACUGCCAUACUUUGUAUCGUUGUGAUCACGAGGGUCUGUAGUAGAUGAAGGUCCGAGACUCUGGUUAUGUGUUGACGGAUGUGAUACAGGUGACGGGUUAGUAUAGGAGUUGUGUGAUAUUACUCCUUGUAUCCGUGUACCAGAUUGCAUGACCAGAUAUUUCGGGAAUUCUUAGGUGGGAAUUCAAGUAGUUACUUAUAGGACAAUCUUCCAACAAAUGCAUGAUGUUAGGUUGGGGUUCGACAUCUAGUGGAUUCGUUUGUUGACGGUCGACUUAUAGCGGUUCUCGUUGUGUCUUAAAGAGUCCUUGUAGCUUGCUACGACUCGGGGAUGCUUCGUAUGUCAUGUGCACUGCCUUGCACAUGAUGGCUACUGUAAGGAUCGAGCCCGUGGGAUCCUGUCCACGAAAAUAUCGGACGAAAUCUUUCUCAUGAGUUUGUUCUGGCUGAUUGUAAGCCUCAUCCCUUUGUUUUGUUGGAGUUUGGUAAUUCAAGUUGCUUCGAUGUCAAGUGGUGAUUUUAGAUCUUUCCUAAGAGGUGUUCUCAUAUUUUUAUGUGAGAAUGCAAAUUCUUUUGUUCAUUCAAAUUGUCAUAUCAAUUCUUGUCAACCGGAGUUGUGGUGUCAAUUCUUUUCAACCAGUGUGUUUCUCUCCAAGUGAAUUCAAUCCUCUCCAAUAUUUGCAGAUCAUUCUCUCAAUUCUUACCGGAAUUGUCUCAUCUGUCUCAAGUUGUCUUUGUUUUCCCCGCCCACCCNCCACCCACCCUUUUCUUCAGUGUUCAGUAUUCAUCCAAGUGCCUUUAUAUUCAAUGAUGCUUCUGCUAUCUUUUCUUCCGUGUCCUAUCCGGUGAUUCAUUGUGAAGAUUCUCAGGAGCUUUGUGCUCAUCUGUUUCAAUCUUGUUAUCCUUUCCGGUGAAUUUAGUUCAAGCUAUCCGUGUUUCUCUUAUCCUUCUUCCUUGUAAUUCUUUCCCAUGUUGGAAAUUUGUAUGAGCCUAUCUUGUUAUUCAUUCCUCUCUUUUCUUUCUGGAGUGUUGGAGUUAUCCCAGAAGUUUCUUGUUGUCAAUUCUUUCAAUUAUUUUGAGGUGCUAACCUCAUCUAGUUUUCUUUAUACUGGUGCAAUAUCUCUCUUCUAGCAAUCUUUUCAACGGUGGUUUCUUCGACUGGGCCCAUAACCCACAGGUUUUUCCCAGGAUCUUAUAUAGCUCUUGUAAUCUUUUCCGGAGAUCUCUGAUUCUUUUUAACUGUGACAUAAGUAUGAAUCUCAUCAAUCAUAUCCCUUCUCCAAGUUCUAUUCGAAUUAAUUCAUUCUUUGGAUCAACCUUUCAUUCUUCUUUAUUCCGGAGUGUCUCACUAAUUCUUGGUGGUGUUCUCCUCAUCAUUCUCAGCUUGGAAAUCUGAAGGAGUGUUUCCCUCAAAUCUUGCUCCAUUCUCUAGGAGAUUCGUCAUUCAGCUUUGUGCCAUCAUCUUAGUUGUUGUCAAUCAUGAGUAUCCCUUUCUUUCUAUCUGGUGCAUUUCUGAGCUGUUUUCAUUCUCGAUCCUCCGAAGGCCAUCAUUUCAGAAGACCUGUUCGUUCUCAGCUUUCAGCUUUCAUCCUCAAUUCUUCUCAAUUGUUGUCUCUUCAUUCGUCUCUCGGUUAUUCUGGCGCCUUGUUCAAGUUUUCUCUCAGGUGGCUCAUGAUCUCUUCAUUCUCAUGUAUCUCCAUUAAUUCCUGGUUUUCCCAUUCAAUUGUGAAUUCUUACCGGUGUUUCAUUCAAUUAUGCUUCAAGUGGUGCUUAUCUCUCUAUCUCUUCAAGAUUCUUUCAAGAAGAAUAAGUGGUAUGCUAAAUCUGUUGCUUGUCAUCAAUUAAACUUGAUGAAGGACAAGCAUAACAUAAUUCUUAUUCUUGUUCAUAGUGAUCUGAAUUCUUCUUCCGGAGUGGCUCGUCAUAUCAAUUCUUAUCCCAUGUGCUUAUCUUUCUUUUCCGGAGUUCCAAGUUCUUUUAAGUAUCUCUUUGUAAAGCUUCAUCGAGGUCUUUGCCAGGCUUCAAUCUUAUUCUUUCAUCCUUCAUAUCUUGUGUCAUACUUUUGAUACAGAGGUCCUUCAUGGUGGUUCUUCAAGAUUUAAAUCCAUUCUCAAGUGUUCUUCAAGAUUCUUGUGAUAGUAGUUGUCAUGCUCUUAUUCUUUCCUUGUUCCCAAUGAGCUAGUUUUAUUCUCUUGUUCCGGAGGCAUUGUGAUGUUACCUUUUUGGGUCAAUCUUGUUGUUCUAUCAAGAUCAUGGCGUUCCCUUGUUCUAUUUAGUUGUUGUUAUGAAUAUUGUCUAUUUGUCCCAUCUUAUCGAAUUUUUUGUCCCCUUUUCCUACCGAAGUGCUGCCGAAAUUUUCCGUGAAUUCUUGCUUGUUUCUCAUAUUAUUCCUCAUCACUUUGCAACCUUCAAGGAUCGUUGGUUUCACUCGUUUGUCAAAGAAGCGAUUAAGUUUUACCUUUUGCUUUUCUCAUCCUCUUCCCCUUUCAUCCUUGGAUCUCGGGGCGAGAUCCUCUUCUAGUGUAGGAGAGUUGUGCCAGCCCGAUGCCGACGUUCCAGAAGAUUCCCCUUCAUUUCAGUUUUCAUUGUGUGGUUAUUUUUAUUUGUCGCAUCAUCAUCGCAUCAUGCGCAUCAUCAGCAUUGCAUCGGCACCCCAUUGCCGCCAGUUUUCAAACUUUCAUCCGUUGUUAGUUGUCGGUUCUCGUCAUUGUCCGUUCUGAGCCCGACCACACACGCAUGCGCCCGCGGCUUCGUUCAAAUCUUGUUUUCAAAAGUGUGUUGAAAACUUUCUCUGAUUGGGUUGAGAUUUGAUGUGCGGUCUUAUUUUAAUAUAGGUAGGCCGCGUGUCAAAUUUCGUCGCGAUCGGAGUCCAUCUGGUACCCGAACGGUCGACCGUAGCGGCACCGUAUUCGGUCUAUCGUCGGACGUCUUCCGGUGUUUUAAAAAUCGUUGCCGCGCCGCCCGUGUUCCCUCUCGUCUUCGGAUAACUACUCUACACGGUCAUUUAGUCCGUCCCGCGUUCGGAAUUAGUCGAAUCCGACCGCGCGGUUGAAACCGAGGCGAAAUUUCGCUAAACCUAGCCCCCUGCAUAUAAAUAGGACCUCCCAUGCCAUUUUUAGACAACCCUCACUCUCUCCUCGAAAUCCGUGCCUAACCCUAACCCUAACCCACUCUCUCUCUCUCCUCCCUCCCUCCUCUGCGCAGCCUCCGGGCCCGCCAGGCCCAGAUCGGGCUCGAGCAGGCCCAUCCGGCCGCCGCCGCCCGCAGCGCUCCGCCGCGCCCAUGCCCGAGGGCAGCAGCUCGAGUCGCCAGAGCCUCCCCUCGCCUCUCCCUCGACGGACACCCCGCCAGCAGCCCUCGUCACCGGUAGGCAGCCGCCCCCUCGGGUCCUGCUACUCCGCCUACCUCGUCACGCCGCCCUGCUACUGCCGGCCCGAGUGCCACCUCUGGGCGGAGCCCGAGCCGGCAGCCGCCAACCCUCGUGCCGAGGUCCUCGUCGCUGGCCGCCCGGAGGCUCCCGCGCCUGGAUCCGCCUCGUUCCGGCCGGAUCCCGCCGCCCCCGCGCCGGUGCUUUGCCCCUUCGCCUCGCCUUCCGCCGCCAUCACCGUCAGCUCCCUCCGCCGCCGCCUCUGUCAUGCUCGGGAACGAGCAGAGCGACGGGAGCUGCCUGUCCCCUCGCCCCGUGGGCCGGCCUGGCUAGACGAGGCCCAGCGCCUCCCUCGGCCGCAGCCCAGCGCCUCAACCGCCGGCCCACUCCACUAUUCCCACCCCUCCAACCGGCCCGAGUGGCUUCACCUGAGGUGAGCUAAUCCUCGCCCCCAGUGCGCCUUAGGUUUUUUGCGUCCCCUAUUGGCCUUAGGGUUUUUUUUUCGAAAUUAUUUAAAUUCCAGGAUUAGACGAUAUUAAAUCACCCAUAGUUUAUUAUCCGCAGGUCGGAUCGCGACGUGUAGCAUACGGAUUUUGUGUAGUUUUGCGCAUAGAUUACGUUUGUGCAACUUGCAUAAUUGUUUAAAGUGAUUUGACGUGCCGAACGCCUAGUUUUACGUGCUGUCCCAAUAGGAUUCGUCCCGUAUUUAUUUCUCGUGCGUGUCUGGAUUGCUCGUAUGUCGUAGAUAAAAUGUUCAUGUUAUAGGAACCACUUUUACAUGUAUUUUAGAGAAGUCGUUGGUAUUUUUACGUGUAGGGAUUUGCCGCUAGUUUCUUUUCCGUGUUUAGGAUAAUAUCUCGCAUUUACGUGUGAUAAUAUUUUUGUGUUGCAACCCCACAUGUUUUAUAUGUUUUCAGGGUAGAAAAGUCCAUAGGAUUUUUCUGUGUAUUUAGUUUUAGCUUUUGAGCAAGUUAGUUCGUGCGAUAUUUUGCCAUGUUGCCCUCUUGUCUAUCUCGUAGGAUUUAUUCCGUGCUUCCUUUGAAGGAGUUGUCAAUUAGAGUUUUGCCCUUGGAUGUUUAGUCUGGCCCCUCGUAUUUUUGGUUGCAUUAGAAAUCAAUGUUUAGGUGUGGGUUGCUUGCUCUCAAGUUGCUAGAAAACAGUGCUGAUUUGGAGAUGCUGAAAUAUUUCUAAGUCUGAAUCUAUUAUAUUUUGUUGCUGUCUUGUCUUGCUUCUAUCUUGUGAUUUGUAGCUCUUUUGAGGUUGGUCCAAUGGAGUUAGUUGUAGACUUUGGGAUUCUCUAGCAUGCCAUGAAUUUUCAUGCAAUUUGGAGUCCUGUAGCUUAUGGUUUCUCUGCUGUCAAUAUGCCAUCGGAUUGAAAACUGCAGCUUCAUAAACUGCUAUUUUCACUAAGUCUGAAAUAGUGUGUGAGAAGCCAUUUUGUGACUUCUUUUCCUAGUGAUCCAUGCUGCCAUGCUAGUUGUUGUUAGUUGUAUGUUGUAGUGCUUCUUGCCCUCUAUCGACUCAUGCCUUGCUUGAGCAUAUUGGGUUUGUGUAGCUCGUAGUUGCGGGGUGUUGAAAAUGCUAUGUGGCUGUUUUUGGCAGAUUGUAGUGAUAUCUUGUUUUGCUCGUAGUUGUUGAACCGUAGCUCCGAUUUGGUCGUGUCCUAUAUGGAACUUGCUUAGAAUCUCAUGUAGUUUCAUAUUAUCUUGCUGGUUGUGUGUUUUGAAGUGCUCGUGACCGUCGUUGCACACAUAUUGCAUUCAUGCCAUCACAUCUUGCGGUGUCCGUAUCUUUUGAUCCGUAGCUCCGUUGGAGAUGUUCUCUAUGUGUAAAUUGAUUGUAACGACGCGUAGAAUCACGUGAACCCAUUUGUUUUGCUGUUUAACAACUAAUUAAACGUGUUAGUUCAGAUCUGGACAGAAUUGUAAAUUAACAUGUGAGGUCGUCUCGGAGAUGCUAUAUGUCAUUUCCGACCUCAUUUAAAAUGCCUAGAUAGGUAGUUUAAUUGCGCUUCACCUCUUUCCAUGUUUAACAACAUUUAAUAUUGCCGUGUACCUAAUCGAGAUAGAACUACAUAAUCCGUGUGUGGAGUUUCGUCAAUAUGCAAUGCGUUGCAUAUUGAACUUCACUUAAUGUGUAGUGUUUGGUUGUUGUGAAUUGUCAUGUCGUGACUUGCAUGUAUUAUUUUGUUCAUGCAUCAUAUGUGAUGUGCACCGUGUGGUGAAUAUCGUGUGUUGAUGCUUGUUUCUGUUUUCCUCCGUCUCGUUAGAGUUCCGCAAGCAUGUCGGAUGUGAGGACCGUUCGACUACAUCGGUUCGUCUGCUUCACGGAGUCGUUCUUCUUCCAAGCGGGAUCUCAGGCAAGAUGACCAUUUCCCUAGAUACCAUUACUAUCAUUGCCAUGCUAGUUUUACCGUUUCUAUCGUUUAUGUCUCAUUGCCUACCAGAUGUUAAAUAUCAGCCUCCCAACAUUGCCAUGUAAACCUUCAACCUGUUCACAACCUAGCAAACCACUGAUUGGCUAUGCUACCGCUUGCUUAACCCUGUGUUAGCGUUGCUAGUUGCAAAUGCAGUUGCUUCCAUAUGAUAACAUGGGUUCCUUGUUAUAUCACCAUAUUAAUGAUAUUUAAUUUAAUGCACCUAUAUACUUGGUAAAAGGUGGAAGGCUUGGCCUUUCUAGCCUGGUGUUUUGUUCCACCAUUGCCCCCUUAGUUUCAGCUACCGGUGUUAUGUUCCAUCAUUGAGCGCUCCUAACACGGUCGGGGUUGUUAUGGGGACCCCCUUAAUAAUUUGUUUUAGAUUAAAGCUGGUUUGGCAAGGCCCAACAUUGGUACUAUUUGCCAAACAUAAUAAUUUUGUUAACACUGAAAUGCAUAGGGAGUUAGCGCUACCCGACGAGUAAUUCUACAUAAUACAGGGAGGACCGGUGCUGAUGGUGAUGGUCCAAAACAGAGCACUGUGCGUGCCCAACCCAGGGCAACUUGGGUGAUUUCUAUCAGGUCACUGUACGCGUCGCUCAUCCGUCGUGUCGUGAGAAUGACAACACGGCUCCUAUCGGGGUCGUCGACACGCCGAGCGGCCUUGCUAGAUUAGUUUUACCUUUGACGAGAUAUCUUGUGCAUCGGGAUUCCGGUGAUGCUUUGGGUAAUCUCAGAGUUGAGGUUUUCCACUAAGGAGUCCUACGAGAUCGNNNNNNNNNNNNNNNNNNNNNNNNNNNNNNNNNNNNNNNNNNNNNNNNNNNNNNNNNNNNNNNNNNNNNNNNNNNNNNNNNNNNNNNNNNNNNNNNNNNNGUGGCGCCGGUGACAAGAAGAUCGUGCCGGUGCUUUGGUGAUGGAGAUCAAGAAGCACGUGAUGAUGGCCAUAUCAUGUCACUUAUGAAUUGCAUGUGAUGUUAAUCCUUUUAUACACCUUAUUUUGCUUAGAACGACGGUAGCAUUAUGAGGUGAUCUCUCACUAAAAUUUCAAGACGAAAUUGUGUUCUCCCCGACUGUGCACCGUUGCUACAGUUCGUCGUUUCGAGACACCACGUGAUGAUNNNNNNNNNNNNNNNNNNNNNNNNNNNNNNNNNNNNNNNNNNNNNNNNNNNNNNNNNNNNNNNNNNNNNNNNNNNNNNNNNNNNNNNNNNNNNNNNNNNNNNNNNNNNNNNNNNNNNNNNNNNNNNNNNNNNNNNNNNNNNNNNNNNNNNNNNNNNNNNNNNNNNNNNNNNNNNNNNNNNNNNNNNNNNNNNNNNNNNNNNNNNNNNNNNNNNNNNNNNNNNNNNNNNNNNNNNNNNNNNNNNNNNNNNNNNNNNNNNNNNNNNNNNNNNNNNNNNNNNNNNNNNNNNNNNNNNNNNNNNNNNNNNNNNNNNNNNNNNNNNNNNNNNNNNNNNNNNNNNNNNNNNNNNNNNNNNNNNNNNNNNNNNNNNNNNNNNNNNNNNNNNNNNNNNNNNNNNNNNNNNNNNNUGAUAUGAUUAGCAUAGGGAUGCUUACCACUGAAACUAUACUCAACUCACGUGAUGAUCGGACUUGAGCUAGUGCAAGUGGAUCAUGAACCACUCAAAUGACUAGAGAGAUGUACUUUUUGAGUGGGAGUUUAGCGAAUAAUUUGAUUAAGUUAAACUCUAAUUAUCUUGAACAUAGUCUAAGUCCACUUUGAAUAUAUUUGUGUUGUAGAUCAUGGCUAACGCGACAGUCAUCCUGAAUUUUAAUACGUUCCUAGAGAAAGCUAAGUUGAAAGAUGAUGGAAGCAACUUUGUAGACUGGGCUCGUAAUCUUAAGCUAAUCUUACAAGCUGGGAAGAAGGAUUAUGUCCUUAAUGCUGCGCUAGGAGAUGAACCACCCGCUACGGCUGAUCAGGAUGUUAAGAACGCUUGGUUAGCACGUAAGGAGGACUACUCAAUAGUUCAAUGUGCAGUCUUGUAUGGCUUAGAACCGGGACUUCAACGUNNNNNNNNNNNNNNNNNNNNNNNNNNNNNNNNNNNNNNNNNNNNNNNNNNNNNNNNNNNNNNNNNNNNNNNNNNNNNNNNNNNNNNNNNNNNNNNNNNNNGCAUCUUGGGCGUGACAGGAUCAUAAUCAAAUUCAACAACAUAUCCAUCAAAAAGGAUAUUCUUUUCAUGAUCCACAUGCAUGCAAAGUUGACGCUCUUCAAAAAUAGUGGGAUUAUCAUCAACCAAAGUCAUGACUUCUCCAAUCCCACUUUCAAAAUUAUUGCAAAUAUCAUAUUCAUCAUGAGGUUUAAACAAAUUUUCAAGAUCAUACAAAAAAUCAUCACCCCAUUCAUGAUCAUUGCAACAAGUAGUGGACAUAGCAAAACUAGCAUCCCCAAGCUUAGGNNNNNNNNNNNNNNNNNNNNNNNNNNNNNNNNNNNNNNNNNNNNNNNNNNNNNNNNNNNNNNNNNNNNNNNNNNNNNNNNNNNNNNNNNNNNNNNNNNNNNNNNNNNNNNNNNNNNNNNNNNNNNNNNNNNNNNNNNNNNNNNNNNNNNNNNNNNNNNNNNNNNNNNNNNNNNNNNNNNNNNNNNNNNNNNNNNNNNNNNNNNNNNNNNNNNNNNNNNNNNNNNNNNNNNNNNNNNNNNNNNNNNNNNNNNNNNNNNNNNNNNNNNNNNNNNNNNNNNNNNNNNNNNNNNGCAUCCCCAAGCUUAGGGUUUUGCAUAUUUUUAGCAUGAUUGUCAUUAAUAGAAUUUAUAAUGAAAUCAUUGCAAUCAUGCUUUUCAUUCAAGGAGCCCUAGUGAAUCACUUCAUAAAUUUCUUCAUCACGAUUUUUAGAUUCACGCAUCUCAAGCAAAACUCCAUAGAGAUAGUCAAGUGCACUCAACUCACUAGCAAUUGGUUCCACAUAAGUGUUGGGUAACGUAGCANNNNNNNNNNNNNNNNNNNNNNNNNNNNNNNNNNNNNNNNNNNNNNNNNNNNNNNNNNNNNNNNNNNNNNNNNNNNNNNNNNNNNNNNNNNNNNNNNNNNGGACGUCCGAGGCCCGGAUAUCCGACCAGCUUCGGAAUUCCGGAACUAUGCACCAGAGAAACUUGAGCCAUAUAACUCGGACUUCCGGCUCACUCCGGACGUCCGAGGGCCGGUCAAGGGUCGGACGACCGACAUGCUUCGGAAAUCCGGAGCCCUGCACCAGAAGAACGUGAGCUCUAUAACUCGGAUUUCCGGCUCCCUCCGGACGUCCGAGGGCCGGACGUCCGACCCCCUUCGGAAAUCCGGAACCUACCACCAGAAGAAGUUGAGUUGUAUAACUCGGAUUUCCGGUCCUCUCCGGACGUCUGGUCGCUGUUUAAUUCAAAAUAGUUUCAGCCGUAUCUACAGGCCUCGGACGACCGACCCCUGUCGGACGUCCAACCCCUCACGGACGCCCAGACUUCCGGCAACUGUCGGACGUCCGGACCCUGUGUGACUUAAAGUGUCCCCAACGGCUGUUUUUCUCUCCCCACUAUAAAUACCCCCCUCGCACUUCGUGAGAGGGCAGCCCAACACAGCCUUAUCCUCAUAAGAACAUACUUCUACCUCACACACANUNNNNNNNNNNNNNNNNNNNNNNNNNNNNNNNNNNNNNNNNNNNNNNNNNNNNNNNNNNNNNNNNNNNNNNNNNNNNNNNNNNNNNNNNNNNNNNNNNNNNAGAGGCAGCCUCAAACCCUCAAGGGUUGGCCGAAAUUGGAGGUGGAGGAGUCCUACUCCAAUCCUACUUGGAGUAGGAUUCCACCUUCCCACUUGGAAACUCUUUCCACCUUGUGUUUUUUCCUUCUCAAACCUUAUGGGCCUUAGUGGGAACUUAUUCCAGCCCACUAGGGGCUGGUUUAUAUCUUCCCAUAGCCCAUGAGACCCCUUGGGGCGUGACACCCCUCCCGAUGGUCCCCGGCACCCCUCCCGGCACUCCCGGUACACUACCGAUGAGCCCGAAACUUUUCCGGUAAUGCACGAAAACCUUCCGGUAACCAAAUGAGGUCAUCCUAUAUAUCAAUCUUCGUUUCCGGACCAUUCCGGAAACCCUCGUGACGUCCGUGAUCUCAUCCGGGACUCCGAACAACAUUCGGUAACCAACCAUAUAACUCAAAUACGCAUAAAACAACGUCGAACCUUAAGUGUGCAGACCCUGCAGGUUCGAGAACUAUGUAGACAUGACCCGAGAGACUCCUCGGUCAAUAUCCAAUAGCGGGACCUGGAUGCCCAUAUUGGAUCCUACAUAUUCUACGAAGAUCUUAUCAUUUGAACCUCAGUGCCAAGGAUUCAUAUAAUCCCGUAUGUCAUUCCCUUUGUCCUUCGGUAUGUUACUUGCCCGAGAUUCGAUCGUCAGUAUCCGCAUACCUAUUUCAAUCUCGUUUACCGGCAAGUCUCUUUACUCCUUCCGUAAUACAAGAUCCCGCAACUUACACUAAGUUACAUUGCUUGCAAGGCUUGUGUGUGAUGUUGUAUUACCGAGUGGGCCCCGAGAUACCUCUCCGUCACACGGAGUGACAAAUCCUAGUUUUGAUCCAUACUAACUCAACUAACACCUUCGGAGAUACCUGUAGAGCAUCUUUAUAGUCACCCAGUUACGUUGCGACGUUUGAUACACACAAAGCAUUCCUCCAGUGUCAGUGAGUUAUAUGAUCUCAUGGUCAUAGGAAUAAAUACUUGACACGCAGAAAACAGUAGCAAUAAAAUGACACGAUCAACAUGCUACGUCUAUUAGUUUGGGUCUAGUCCAUCACGUGAUUCUCCCAAUGAAGUGAUCCAGUUAUCAAGCAACAACACCUUGUUCAUAAUCAGAAGACACUGACUAUCAUCGAUCAACUGGCUAGCCAACUAGAGGCAUGCUAGGGACGGUGUUUUGUCUAUGUAUCCACACAUGUAAAUGAGUCUUCAUUCAAUACAAUUAUAGCAUGGAUAAUAAACUAUUAUCUUGAUACAGGAAUUAUAAUAAUAACUAUAUUUAUUAUUGCCUCUAGGCAUAAUUCCAACAGUCUCCCACUUGCACUAGAGUCAAUAAUCUAGCCCUCACAUCACCAUGUGAAUUGCAUUGUAAUAAAUCUAACACCCAUACAGUUCUGGUGUCGAUCAUUGUUUUGGUCGUGGAAGAGGUUUAGUCAGCGGGUCUGCUACAUUCAGAUCCGUGUGCACUUUGCAUAUAUUUACGUCCUCUUCCUCGACGUAGUCGCGGAUGAGGUUGAACCGUCGUUUGAUGUGUCUGGUCUUCUUGUGAAACCGUGGUUCCUUUGCUAAGGCAAUGGCACCAGUGUUGUCACAGAACAAGGUUAUUGGAUUCAGUGCGCUUGGCACCACUCCAAGAUCCGUCAUGAACUGCUUCAUCCAGACACCCUCCUUAGCCGCCUCCGAGGCAGCCAUGUACUCCGCUUGACAUGUAGAAUCUGCUACGACGCUUUGCUUGGAACUGCACCAGCUUACUGCACCCCCAUUAAGAAUAAAUACGUAUCCGGUUUGCGACUUAGAGUCGUCCGGAUCUGUGUCAAAGCUUGCAUCGACGUAACCUUUUACGACGAGCUCUUCGUCACCUCCAUACACGAGAAACAUCUCCUUAGUCCUUUUCAGGUACUUCAGGAUAUUCUUGACCGCUAUCCAGUGAUCCACUCCUGGAUUACUCUGGAACCUACCUGCCAUACUUAUGGCCAGGCUAACAUCCGGUCUAGUGCACAGCAUCGCAUACAUGAUAGAACCUAUGGCUGAAGCAUAGGGGACGGAGCGCAUAUGCUCUCUAUCUUCAUCAGUUGCUGGGCACUGAGUCUUACUCAAUCUUGUACCUUGUAAAACUGGCAAGAACCCUUUCUUGGACUGUUCCAUUUUGAACCUCUUCAAAACUUUAUCAAGGUAUGUGCUUUGUUGAAAGUCCUAUCAGGCGUUUUGAUCUAUCCCUAUAGAUCUUAAUGCCUAGAAUGUAAGCAGCUUCUCCUAGGUCCUUCAUAGAGAAACUUUUAUUCAAGUAACCUUUUAUGCUCUCCAAAAACUCUACGUUGUUUCCAAUCAGUAAUAUGUCAUCCACAUAUAAUAUUGGAAACGCCACAAAGCUCCCACUCACUUUCUUGUAAAUACAAGAUUCUCCAACCACUUGUAUAAACCCAAAUGCUUUGAUUACCUCAUCAAAGCGUUUGUUCCAACUCCGAGAUGCUUGCACCAGUCCAUAAAUGGAUCGCUGGAGCUUGCACACCUUGUUAGCAUUCUUAGGAUCGACAAAACCUUCGGGUUGCAUCAUAUACAACUCUUCCUUAAGGAAACCGUUAAGGAACGCCGUUUUGACAUCCAUCUGCCAGAUUUCAUAAUCGAAAAAUGCAGCUAUUGCUAACAUGAUUCUGACGGACUUAAGCAUCGCUACGGGUGAGAAAGUCUCAUCGUAGUCAACUCCUGGAACUUGUGAAAAACCCUUUGCCACAAGUCGAGCUUUAUAAACGGUCACAUUACCGUCAGCGUCCGUCUUCUUCUUAAAGAUCCAUUUGUUCUGAAUAGCCUUGCGGCCCUCAGGUAGUAUCUCCAAAGUCCACACUUUGUUCUCAUACAUGGAUCCUAUCUCCGACUUCAUGGCUUCUAGCCAUUUGUUGGAAUCUGGGCCCACCAUUGCUUCUUCGUAAUUUGCAGGUUCAUUGUUGUCUAACAACAUGAUUGAUAAGACGGGAUUACCGUACCACUCUGGAGCAGCGCGUGAUCUCGUCAACCUGCGUGGUUCAACAGAAACUUGAACUGGAGUUUCAUGAGCAUCAUCAUUAACUUUCUCCUCAACCGGCGUCGCAACGACAGAGGUUUCCCCUUGCCCUGCGCCACCAUCCAGAGGGAUGAGAGGUUCGACAACCUCGUCAAGUUCUAUCUUCCUCCCACUCAAUUCUCUCGAGAGAAACUCCUUCUCGAGAAAAGCUCCGUUCUUAGCAACAAACACUUUGCCCUCGGAUUUGAGAUAGAAGGUGUACCCAACUGUCUCUUUUGGGUAACCUAUGAAGACGCACUUUUCCGCUUUGGGUUCCAGCUUUUCAGGCUGAAGCUUUUUGACAUAAGCAUCACAUCCCCAAACUUUAAGAAACGACAACUUUGGUCUUUUGCCAUACCACAGUUCGUAUGGUGUCGUCUCAACGGAUUUUGAUGGUGCCCUAUUUAAAGUGAAUGCAGCUGUUUCUAAUGCAUAACCCCAAAACGAUAACGGCAAAUCAGUAAGAGACAUCAUAGAUCGCACCAUCUCUAAGAAAGUACGAUUACGACGUUCGGACACACCAUUACGCUGUGGUGUUUGAGGCGGUGUUAACUGUGAAACAAUUCCACAUUGUCUUAAGUGAUAACCAAACUCGAAACUCAGAUAUUCACCCCCACGAUCAGACCGUAGGAACUUGAUCUUCUUGUUACGAUGAUUUUCCACUUCACUCUGAAAUUGCUUGAACUUUUCAAAUGUUUCAGACUUGUGCUUCAUCAAGUAGACAUAACCAUACCUACUCAAAUCGUCAGUGAAGGUGAGAAAAUAACGAUAUCCGCCGCGUGCCUCCACGCUCAUUGGACCACACACAUCGGUAUGUAUGAUUUCCAAUAAGUCACUUGCACGCUCCAUUGUUCCGGAGAACGGAGUCUUAGUCAUCUUGCCCAUCAGGCAUGGUUCGCACGUGUCAAGUGAAUCAAAGUCAAGUGACUCCAAAAGUCCAUCAGCAUGGAGUUUCUUCAUGCGCUUUACACCAAUAUGACCCAAGCGGCAGUGCCACAAAAAUAUGGCGCUAUCAUUGUUUACUCUAACUCUUUUGGUCUCAAUGUUAUGUAUAUGCGUAUCGCUAUCAAGAUUCAAUAUGAACAAUCCUCUCACAUUCGGUGCAUGACCAUAAAAGAUGUUACUCAUAGAAAUAGAACAACCAUUAUUCUCUGACUUAAAAGAGUAACCGUCUCGCAAUAAACAAGAUCCAGACAUAAUGUCCAUGCUCAACCCAGGCACUAAAUAACAAUGAUUUAAGUUCAUCACUAAUCCCGACGGUAGCUGAAGUGACACUGUGCCGACGGCGAUUGAAUCAACCUUGGAACCAUUUCCUACGCGCAUCGUCACUUCAUCUUUCGCCAGCCUUCGUCUAUUCCGCAGUUCCUGCUUCGAGUUGCAAAUAUGAGCAACAGAACCGGUAUCGAAUACCCAGGCACUACUACGAGAACCGGUUAAGUACACAUCAAUAACAUGUAUAUCAAAUAUACCUGAUUUUUCUUUGCCCGCCUUCUUAUCUGCCAGAUACUUGGGGCAAUUGCGCUUCCAGUGACCCAUACCCUUGCAAUAGUAACACUCCAUUUCAGGCUUAGGUCCAGCUUUGGGUUUCUUCGACGGAUUGGCAACAGGCUUGCCGCUCUUCUUCGAAUUGCCCUUUUUGCCUUUGCCGUUUCUCUUGAAACUAGUGGUCUUAUUCACCAUCAACACUUGAUGCUCUUUACGGAGUUCAGACUCUGCGACUUUCAGCAUCGCAAACAACUCGCCGGGAGACUUGUUCAUCCCUUGCAUGUUGUAGUUCAACACAAAGCCUUAAUAGCUUGGCGGCAGUGAUUGAAGGAUUCUGUCAGUGAUAGCCUGUUGCGGGAGUUCAAUCCCCAGCUCAGCUAGACGGUUUGAGUACCCAGACAUUUUGAGCACAUGUUCACUGACAGACGAGUUUUCCUCCAUCUUGCAAGCAUAGAAUUUAUCGGAGGUCUCAUACCUCUCGAUCCGGGCGUUCUUCUGAAAGAUAAACUUCAACUCAUGGAACAUCUCAAAUGCUCCAUGACGCUCAAAGCAACGUUGAAGUCCCGGUUCUAAGCCAUACAAGACUGCACAUUGAACUAUUGAGUAGUCCUCCUUACGUGCUAACCAAGCGUUCUUAACAUCCUGAUCAACCGUAGCGGGUGGUUCAUCUCCUAGCGCAGCAUUAAGGACAUAAUCCUUCUUCCCAGCUUGUAAGAUUACGAGCCCAGUCUACAAAGUUGCUUCCAUCAUCUUUCAACUUAGCUUUCUCUAGGAACGUAUUAAAAUUCAGGAUGACUGUCGCGUGAGCCAUGAUCUACAACACAAAUAUAUUCAAAGUGGACUUAGACUAUGUUCAAGAUAAUUAGAGUUUAACUUAAUCAAAUUAUGUGCUAAACUCCCACUCAAAAAGUACAUCUCUCUAGUCAUUUGAGUGGUUCAUGAUCCACUUACACUAUCCCAAGUCCGAUCAUCACGUGAGUUGAGUAUAGUUUCAGUGGUAAGCAUCCCUAUGCUAAUCAUAUCAACUAUAUGAUUCAUGAUCGACCUUUCGGUCUCAUGUGUUCCGAGGCCAUGUCUGCACAUGCUAGGCUCAUCAAGCUUAACCCGAGUGUUCCGCGUGCGCAACUGUUUUGCACCCGUUGUAUGUGAACGUUGAGUCUAUCACACCUGAUCAUCACGUGGUGUCUCGAAACGACGAACUGUAGCAACGGUGCACAGUCGGGGAGAACACAAUUUCGUCUUGAAAUUUUAGUGAGAGAUCACCUCAUAAUGCUACCGUCGUUCUAAGCAAAAUAAGGUGUAUAAAAGGAUUAACAUCACAUGCAAUUCAUAAGUGACAUGAUAUGGCCAUCAUCACGUGCUUCUUGAUCUCCAUCACCAAAGCACCGGCACGAUCUUCUUGUCACCGGCGCCACACCAUGAUCAUCCAUCAACGUGUUGCCAGUCGGGGUUGUCGUGCUACUCAUGCUAUUACUACCAAAGCUGCAUCCUAGCAAAAUAGUAAACGCAUCUGCAAGCACAAACGUUAGUAUAAAGACAACCCUAUGGCUCCUGCCGGUUGCCGUACCAUCGACGUGCAAGUCGAUAUUUCUAUUACAACAUGAUCAUCUCAUACAUCCAAUAUAUCACAUCACAUCGCUGGCCAUAUCACAUCACAAGCAUACCCUGCAAAAACAAGUUAGACGUCCUCUAAUUUUGUUGUUGCAUGUUUUACGUGGUGACCAAGGGCAUCUAGUAGGAUCGCAUCUUACUUACGUAAACACCACAACGGAGAUAUAUGAGUUGCUAUUUAACCUCAUCCAAGGACCUCCUCGGUCAAAUCCGAUUCAACUAAAGUUGGAGAAACCGUCACUUGCCAGUCAUCUUUGAGCAAAGGGGGUUACUCGUAACGAUGAAACCAGUCUCUCGUAAGCGUACGAGUAAUGUCGGUCCAAGCCGCUUCAAUCCACAAUACCGUGGAAUCAAGAAAAGACUAAGGAGGGCAGCAAAACGCACAUCACCGCCCACAAAAACUUUUGUGUUGUACUCGAGAAGACAUCUACGCAUGAACCUAGCUCUGAUACCACUGUUGGGGAACGUCGCAUGGGAAACAAAAAUUUUCCUACGCGCACGAAGACCUAUCAUGGUGAUGUCCAUCUACGAGAGGGGAUGAGUGAUCUACGUACCCUUGUAGACCGUACAGCAGAAGCGUUAGAAAACGCGGUUGAUGUAGUGGAACGUCCUCACGUCCCUCGAUCCGCCCCGCGAACAAUCCCGCGAUCAGUCCCACGAUCUAGUACCGAACGGACGGCACCUCUGCGUUCAGCACACGUAUAGCUUGACGAUGAUCUCGGCCUUCUUGAUCCAGCAAGAGAGACGGAGAGGUAGAAGAGUUCUCCGGCASCGUGACGGCGCUCCGGAGGUUGGUGAUGACCUUGUCUCAGCAGGGCUCCGCCCGAGCUCCGCAGAAACGCGAUCUAGAGGAAAAACCGUGGAGGUAUGUGGUCGGGCUGCCGUGGAAAAAAAUCGUCUCAAAUCAGCCCUAAAACCUCCGUAUAUAUAGGUGGGAGGGAGGGGACCUUGCCUUGGGGCUCAAGGAGCCCCAAGGGGGUCGGCCGAGUCCAAGGGGGGAAGACUCCCCCCCCCAAACCYGAGUUGGACUUGGUUUGGUGGGAGGGAGUCCUUCCCUUCCUUCCCACCUCCUCCUUUUUUCCUUUUCUCUUGAUUUUCUCUUCUUGGCGCAUAGGGCCCUUUUGGGCUGUCCCACCAGCCCACUAAGGGCUGGUGUGCCACCCUCAAGGCCUAUGGGCUUCCCCGGGGUGGGUUGCCCCCCCCCCCCCCGGUCGAACUCCCGGAACCCAUUCGUCAUUCCCGGUACAUUCCCGGUAACUCCGAAAACCUUCCGGUAAUCAAAUGAGGUCAUCCUAUAUAUCAAUCUUCGUUUCCGGACCAUUUCGGAAACCCUCGUGACGUCCGUGAUCUCAUCCGGGACUCUGAACAACAUUCGGUAACCAACCAUAUAACUCUAAUACGCAUAAAACAACGUCGAACCUUAAGUGUGCAGACCCUGCGGGUUCGAGAACUAUGCAGACAUGACCCGAGAGACUCCUCGGUCAAUAUCCAAUAGCAGGACCUGGAUGCCCAUAUUGGAUCCUACAUAUUCUACGAAGAUCUUAUCGUUUGAACCUCAGUGCCAAGGAUUCAUAUAAUCCCGUAUGUCAUUCCCUUUGUCCUUCGGUAUGUUACUUGCCCGAGAUUCGAUCGUCAGUAUCCGUAUACCUAUUUCAAUCUCGUUUACCGGCAAGUCUCUUUACUUGUUCCGUAAUACAAGAUCCCGCAACUUACAUUAAGUUACGUUGCUUGCAAGGCUUGUGUGUGAUGUUGCAUUACCGAGUGGGCCCCGAGAUACCUCUCCGUCACACGGAGUGACAAAUCCCAGUCUCGAUCCAUACUAACUCAACUAACACGUUCGGAGAUACCUAUAGAGCAUCUUUAUAGUCACCCAGUUACGUUGCGACGUUUGAUACACACAAAGCAUUCCUCCGGUGUCAGUGAGUUAUAUGAUCUCAUGGUCAUAGGAAUAAAUACUUGACACGCAGAAAACAGUAGCAACAAAAUGACACGAUCAACAUGCUACGUCUAUUAGUUUGGGUCUAGUCCAUCACGUGAUUCUCCUAAUGACGUGAUCCAGUUAUCAAGCAACAACACCUUGUUCAUAAUCAGAAGACACUGACUAUCUUUGAUCAACUAGCUAGCCAACUAGAGGCUUGCUAGGGACGGUGUUUUGUCUAUGUAUCCACACAUGUAAAUGAGUCUUCAUUCAAUACAAUUAUAGCAUGGAUAAUAAACGAUUAUCUUGAUACAGGAAUUAUAAUAAUAACUAUAUUUAUUAUUGCCUCUAGGGCAUAAUUCCAACAGAACAAGUACCCCUUGCCGAUGAUCAAUGAUCUGUUUGAUCAGUUAGUUGGAGCUCGCGUAUUCUCAAAGAUCGAUCUUCGAUCCGGGUAUCAUCCGCUGAAGAUUCGUGAACAGGAUAUACCCAAGACAGCCUUCACCACUUGGUACGGCUUGUAUGAGUACACGGUCAUGUCAUUUGGACUGACUAAUGCUCCGGCAUAUUUUAUGAAUCUGAUGAACAAUGUAUUUAUGGAAUACUUGGACAAGUUUGUCGUGGUGUUCAUCGAUGACAUACUGAUAUUCUCCAAGAACGAAGAGGAACACAAGGAACAUCUGCAUCUAGUUCUGGAGAAGCUUCGAGAGCAUAAGCUAUAUGCAAAGUUCAGCAAAUGUGAGUUUUGGUUGAAGGAAGUGGGAUUCCUCGGACACGUCAUCUCAGGAGAAGGAAUAGCAGUGGACCCUGCCAAGGUCGCAGCAGCCACCGAAUGGGUAGCACCCACUUCAGUCAAGGAGAUCCGCAGUUUCCUCGGACUUGCCGGAUAUUACCGGAGGUUCAUUGAGAAUUUAUCAAAGAUUGCCAAGCCCAUGACAGAGUUGUUAAAGAAGGAAUCCAAGUAUAUUUGGACCGAGGAAUGUGAAACCAGUUUUCAAGAGCUGAAGAAACGUCUUGUUACAGCCCCAGUGCUGAUAUUGCCGAACAUUCGGAAGGAUUUCCAGGUUUACUGUGACGCUUCUCAUCAAGGACUUGGAGGAGUGCUCAUGCAAGAAGGUAAAGUUGUAGCCUAUGCAUCCAGACAGCUCAAACCUCAUGAGUUGAAUUAUGCCACACAUGACUUGGAACUAGCAGCCGUAGUGCACGCUCUCAAGACCUGGAGACAUUUCCUGAUCGGAAAUAGUUGUGAUGUUUACACUGAUCACAAGAGCCUGAAAUAUAUCUUCACACAGAAGGAGUUGAACCUCAGACAGAGGCGAUGGCUAGAGUUGAUCAAGGACUAUGACAUGAGAUUGCAUUAUCACCGAGGCAAGGCAAAUGUUGUAGCCGAUGCGUUGAGCCGCAAGAGUUAUGUGAACACGCUCACAGCACGAGGAUUACCCCAGGAGUUAGUCGAUGACCUCUGAGGGCUCAAAUUGGAAAUAAUUCCAAAAGGAUUUGUUGCCACUCUGGAAAUUCAGUCUACUUUGACGGAAAAGAUCCGCAAAGCACAGAAAUCAGACAAGGAGAUAGCUGAGAUUAAACAGAAAAUGGAAGACGGGAAAGCUAAAGGUUUUCGUAAGGAUGAACACGGAACUUUAUGGUUUGAGGAUCGCAUCUAUGUGCCCAAUGAUCCCGAACUCAGGAAGUUGAUACUUCAGGAAGCCCAUGAUUCCCCGUACUCGAUACACCCCGGUAACACCAAGAUGUAUCUGGAUCUGAAAGAAAGUUUCUGGUGGACAGGAUUGAAGAAAGACAUUGCCGAGUACGUAGCUAUAUGCGAUGUUUGUCAGCGAGUAAAAGCCGAGCAUCAGAAGCCAGCAGGUUUGCUCCAACCUCUGUCGAUACCCGAAUGGAAAUGGGAAAAGCUUGGAAUGGACUUCAUCACAGGAUUACCCAGGACCCGUUCUGGUUAUGAUUCUAUUUGGGUUGUGGUCGAUCGUUUGACCAAGGUAGCUCACUUCAUUCCGGUGAAGACUACUUACACGAGUGCCAAGCUGGCCAAGAUAUAUAUGACGAGGAUCGUAUGUCUGCACGGAGUACCGAAGAGCAUUGUGUCCGAUAGAGGGACUCAGUUCACAUCAAAAUUUUGGCACCAACUGCAUGAAACCUUGGGAACAAGAUUGGAGUUCAGUACAGCUUUUCACCCGCAGACAGAUGGACAGACCGAGAGAGUCAAUCAGAUUCUGGAGGACAUGUUGAGAGCUUGCGCAGUAGACUAUGGGUCUAGUUGGGAUGACAAUUUACCAUAUGCCGAGUUCUCAUACAACAACAGCUACCAGACCAGUCUGAAGAUGGCCACUUUCGAAGCUCUAUACGGAAGGAGGUGCAGAACACCGUUGAUGUGGGAUGGAGUUGGAGACCGACAACUUUUUGGUCCCGACCUUAUCCGAGAUUCUAAAGAGAAGGUCAAGCUUAUUCGUGACAGACUCAAGAUAGCUCGGUCCAGGCAGAAGACUUAUGCUGACAGCAAACGCAAGGAAGUAACGUACGAAGUGGGAGACCGAGCAUAUCUUCGGGUGUCUCCACUUCGAGGAAUCAAGAGAUUCGGUGUGAAAGGAAAAUUAGCACCACGUUUCAUUGGCCCCUACAAAAUUCUUGAACGUAGAGGCGAAGUUGCAUACAAACUGGAACUGCCGGAAGGAUUGUCCGGAGUUCAUGAUGUCUUCCAUGUUUCCCAGUUGAAGAAAUGCCACGCUGAGAUGGCCGGUGUUCCGUUGAGAGAUACAGUGCCCCUAGAGGCCAUACAGCUUGACAAUGAUCUGACGUAUGAGGAGAAACUCGUCCGGAUUCUCGAGACUGCCAACAGAGUUACCCGCAGUAAAAUCAUCAAGUUCUGCAAGGUGUUGUGGAGCCACCACACCGAGGAAGAAGCCACCUGGGAACGAGAAGAGGAUCUUCGUCGAGACCACCCGCACCUAUUUUCUAGCCAACCCGAAUCUCGAGGGCGAGAUUCAUCUUAAGGUGGGUAGGUUNNNNNNNNNNNNNNNNNNNNNNNNNNNNNNNNNNNNNNNNNNNNNNNNNNNNNNNNNNNNNNNNNNNNNNNNNNNNNNNNNNNNNNNNNNNNNNNNNNNNCCACGUGUCAUUUCUAGUAGGGGAAAACGUAGCCAUCCUUUUAGGGGGUCGAAGUGCAUCUUCCUCAAAAAAGAAUAAAUGGGUCAAGUGUAUCACGCACGUACAUUUGGGUCGAUAUGGAUGGUGUGUGUGCUCUUGUCCAGAAACAGGAAUAUUUGAUGCCCAUAAACAUUUAUAGAGUUUAUACGUUUCUAACGUUCCUGGAAUAUCAGAGAUUCGACUUGUGUCCUUACUUGCCCUCAUGUGCAGGUUAAAGCACUAUGCGAGAAGGCUAAGGAGAUCUUGAUGGAGGAAAGCAAUGUUCAGGUAUCACAUACUAUCGGUUCUUAUCUCACUGCUGCGCAGUGUAUCAUUCGUUAUACAUGCAAUUGGUAUCUUCCUAGCUGCUUCUAAAGGUUGUUUUGAACUUAGUAUACUGUCUUGGAUCUUGGCACUGCGUUUGAGCAACAGCAUCCUCAUUUUAUUGUUCAGAUAGCUGUUUCCUUUAUUCAGUCCAAUGUGUCAAGGCUCAAGGGCAUUCUGAUCAAUAAUUUGACUUUAAAUAAAUUCAGUUAUAUCCUAUUAUUUGGUGUUUUUUCCCAACCCAUAAAUAGGCAAUUGCUGAUGCUAAAAUGAAAUAUAGUUACUUAAAGUCUUCUUCUUUCACAUCCAUUUGAUCUACUUAAUUGUUAUCUCAUUUGUAAAUCAUGAAAUAAUGCAAGGUUCCACUCUGAUACUUAACAAUGUAUUUAUACAAACAUCAUCUGAAAUUAUUUACAUGUAUGGGUGCAUCGGCAGAUAAGCAUUGGCUUUAAGCUUUUACAUUUUUUUGUUACGCAGCCAGUCAAAAGCCCAGUGACAAUCUGUGGUGAUAUUCACGGACAAUUCCAUGAUCUUGUUGAGCUUUUCCGGAUUGGUGGGAAGGUAUUACUUUUGUUAGCUCAUCUUCAUUUAUUUAUUCCUACCUUGCUUUAAAAAUAUGCAGCGAACAUUGCACAAAUGGUUAACCUUUUUCUCAUGCAGUGUCCAGAUACUAAUUAUUUGUUUAUGGGGGAUUAUGUGGAUCGUGGAUACUACUCUGUCGAGACUGUUUCUGUAAGAAUCAACCUACUCAUGUUCAUCACCAUCUGUUCUUCAUCCAGUCUGCAAAAAAUCUUUCUAGUGGAGUUUUGCUUAAUCAGUAUUCUUUCCAAUGACACUAUGUUCGGAUUCAUGUUAUAUGUACUUAAUGAUAUUUCUUGUCCAGCUCUUGGUAGCACUGAAGGUUCGCCAUCCACAUCGGAUUACAAUCCUCCGUGGAAACCAUGAGAGUCGACAGGUACUAUUAGAUAUUAUCUUCCCAAUGCUUGUGUGUUGAUGUUUGUACCUCAGCAGCUGUCAUUAUUGCAGUUUGAAUGGAAAAUUGAGCAGGCUUCUCUGUUUUGAAUCUUGCAUCUCCUGUUUUAUGCAUAAUUUGCUCUAUUAGAAUUUCGAUGCUAUUGUAGUGAUUCAUUUGUCAUGUAUUUUUGUUCUCAAACUGAAAGUAUGUUUCCACAAUGGUUACAGAUCACACAAGUAUAUGGAUUCUACGAUGAAUGCCUACGAAAGUGAGUUUACUUAAUCUUAUUCCAGGUCUAGUCUGUUCUAUAUUUACUUAAUCUUAUGGCUCCAGCUGUGCUAAAAAAUCUGUGCUUGUUCAAUCUGAUCCUAGUUGUCUGUUAAUUCUGGAGUUCUUGUCUUAUUCUCAUAUAUAGUUGUGCCAUGUGUUGAUGCAUGUGAAUCUAGUUGGCAUCAUCUAUUCAUGUGUCAUUUAUACCUGCAUUUGUAGAGAUUCCUUACAUUAGUAUUGACAUUGUGUUGAUUGCAUACAAAUUACUCCCUUCGUACCUAAAUAAUUGUAGUUGGGAAGAACUAGUUUUGUUCUCUCCANNNNNNNNNNNNNNNNNNNNNNNNNNNNNNNNNNNNNNNNNNNNNNNNNNNNNNNNNNNNNNNNNNNNNNNNNNNNNNNNNNNNNNNNNNNNNNNNNNNNCUAGAGGCAAUAAUAAAUAUAGUUAUUAUUAUAAUUCCUGUAUCAAGAUAAUCGUUUAUUAUCCAUGCUAUAAUUGUAUUGAAUGAAGACUCAUUUACAUGUGUGGAUACAUAGACAAAACACUGUCCCUAGCAAGCCUCUAGUUGGCUAGCCAGUUGAUCAAAGAUAGUCAGUGUCUUCUGAUUAUGAACAAGGUGUUGUUGCUUGAUAACUGGAUCACGUCAUUAGGAGAAUCACGUGAUGGACUAGACCCAAACUAAUAGACGUAGCAUGUUGAUCGUGUCAUUUUGUUGCUACUGUUUUCUGCGUGUCAAGUAUUUAUUCCUAUGACCAUGAGAUCAUAUAACUCACUGACACCGGAGGAAUGCUUUGUGUGUAUCAAACGUUGCAACGUAACUGGGUGACUAUAAAGAUACUCUACAGGUAUCUCCGAAGGUGUUAGUUGAGUUAGUAUGGAUCGAGACUGGGAUUUGUCACUCCGUGUGACGGAGAGGUAUCUCGGGGCCCACUCGGUAAUGCAACAUCACACACAAGCCUUGCAAGCAAUGUAACUUAAUGUAAGUUGCGGGAUCUUGUAUUACGGAACGAGUAAAGAGACUUGCCAGUAAACGAGAUUGAAAUAGGUAUACGGAUACUGACGAUCGAAUCUCGGGCAAGUAACAUACCGAAGGACAAAGGGAAUGACAUACGGGAUUAUACGAAUCCUUGGCACUGAGGUUCAAACGAUAAGAUCUUCGUAGAAUAUGUAGGAUCCAAUAUGGGCAUCCAGGUCCCGCUAUUGGAUAUUGACCGAGGAGUCUCUCGGGUCAUGUCUACAUAGUUCUCGAACCCGCAGGGUCUGCACACUUAAGGUUCGACGUUGUUUUAUGCGUAUUUGAGUUAUAUGGUUGGUUACCGAAUGUUGUUCGGAGUCUCGUAUGAGAUCACGGACGUCACGAGGGUUUCCGGAAUGGUCCGGAAACGAAGAUUUAUAUAUAGGAUGACCUCAUUUGAUUACCGGAAGGUUUUCGGAGUUACCGGGNNNNNNNNNNNNNNNNNNNNNNNNNNNNNNNNNNNNNNNNNNNNNNNNNNNNNNNNNNNNNNNNNNNNNNNNNNNNNNNNNNNNNNNNNNNNNNNNNNNNCUCUUUGCCUGCUAAUCAGGUGCAGCAGGGCCUCUACUCUCCCAACACAAUGCCAACUCUCACCCUCAUCACUCCAUCACAGCCUCUAAACUCCUAAACCAUCAAACAUGGCCUGAAGGAAUAAACCCUAGCCUGUCGAUUACUACAACAUUAUCCUUGAUAAACACACUACUUGGCCAAGACCGAGUACAAUACAGUGCAUACUCACACCCUCGUAUAUAGAGAGGUUUGCUUGGCUAUAAAAACCCAUUGGACCUACUCUCUCCCAACCCAAUGCCAACUCACACCCUCGUCACUCCAGUGCAUACUCCAAUUUCCUGAAUGAACAAACAUGGUAUGAAAGAUUAAACCCUAGCUGGACGGCUACUAAAGUGUUCUCUUUCGGAAACACAUUACCCGGCCUAGACCGAGUAGAAUACAGUGCCUUGCCCCACCACCACGAGCUUAUUGCGGGACCCCGACUACAGAGCACGUGCAAGGGUCGUUACCUCCCCUUAAAACUAAAGUGUGACGCAAGGGUGUGAGGACUUCUCCUUUCGACGAUUGCUUUUAUUUGGAAUAUUAAGCUAUUAAUUUGUUGAUGUUAUUUCCUCUGGUUUGACUAUUAUGAAUGCUAAUUAUGUGACCUUGAUUACUCUCGUCUUUACAUCAUUAUCCUCUGGUUUGACUAUUAUGAAUGUUAAUUAUGUACUAAUCUCACCAGUUUACCAUUACUAGCUUUGCAAGUGUUCAUACUUCAUCGCAUGAGUUUUUAUUACCAAAAUUAUGUUCUUGAUGUUCAAAAUUCAUGUGCUUCACGUGAUCAUUAUUAGUAAGUCUACUUAUUUCACCAUCUAACUAAAAAUGAAGAAAUCCUCCGACACAGACAUUNNNNNNNNNNNNNNNNNNNNNNNNNNNNNNNNNNNNNNNNNNNNNNNNNNNNNNNNNNNNNNNNNNNNNNNNNNNNNNNNNNNNNNNNNNNNNNNNNNNNCAUAGACCAAGUACAAUACAGGCGUYCCCCGGUACACCCACUAGAAUGUCCCUUACUAGGGGACCCGACUGAAGGGCAUUUGUCAUGGUAAUUACCGCACAUUAAAACCAAAGCAUGAGAUGGGGGUGUGAGGAUUUCUCCUUACCGCGAUUGCUUUUAUUCAAAAUAGUAUGCUAUGAAUUUGUCAAUGUUCUUUCCCGUGUUUAUUGCGGUAUUAUCAUUUAGUGAAUGUAUAUGGGCCAAUGAAAAAUUAAAGCUUUGGACCUCCGCAACUCACAUAAUUCAAUUAUUUUAUUUCUAGCAUUGUUUUUAAGGCGUCCCUAAGGCAACCUCAGGCAUCAAGGCGCUCCCGGGUCAUAAAGCUUCGACCUUGCCUUAGGCACAUGCUUAAGGUGUCCAUAUUAGGUCAUAGGACGUCCAAGUUAUCCGUCUAGGCAUCAAUGUGCCCACCUUAAACAAAUCUAGACUCGUCAGCGAGGAGCGGGGACGCGGGAAUAAGGACUUCUCCUUUCUGCAAUUGCUUUUAUUGAGAAAAGUAUGCUACUAAUUUGUCGAUGUUCUUUUGAGUGUUUAUUGCGAUAUUACCAUUUAGUAAAUGUAUAUAGGCCUACAAAAAAAUUAAAAGUUUCAAACCUUCGUAAUUCAUAGAAUUUACUUAUCUUCUUUCUAGCACUGUUUUAAAGGUGCUCAUAAAUGGUCACCAAGGUAACCCUUAGGCGUUAGGGCGAUCCUGCUGAUGCAACAAAAGACCUUCCAACGGUGCCAGAAACACGUGCUGACGGCAGACUGUCUUGAUUCUCCUCAGCAACGGCACCAGGAAUCCUUCUGCUACGGCUACGCCUUUAGGGACUUACUAGGCAAAUAUGCAAAGGAUUUCCCCGUGGUCUUCGAUCCUUGCAUUGGUGUUCCCUCGAAGCGGAAAGGGUGAUGUAGCACAGCGGUGGUAAGUAUUUCCCUCAGUUUUGAGAACCAAGGUAUCGAUCUAGUGAAGGAGUAUCACAAGUGCCUGCACAAACACAAAAAAGCUUGCUCCCAACGCUAUGAAGGGGUUGUCAAUCCCUUACAGAUUGUUUGCCAAGUGAGAACUGAAAGCAACAAAGUAACAAAGCAAAGUAAAAGCGGAGGUGUAAACGAUGGGUGUGAAUAGACCCGGGGGCGUAGUGUUCACUAGUGGCUUCUCUCAUGAAAGCAAGUAGACGGUGGGUGAACGAAUUACUGUCGAGCAAUUGAUAGAACCGGGCAAAGUCGUGACGUCAUCUAUGACAAUGAUUAUAUCUAUAGGCAUCACGUCUAAAACAAGUAGACCGAUACUUUCUGCAUCUACUACUAUUACUCCACACGUCGACCGCUAUCCAGCAUGCAUCUAGUGUAUUAAGUCCAAAAGAACAGAGUAACACCUUAAGCAAGAUGACAUGAUGUAGAUGGACAAUCUCAUAUCUAUGACAAAGCCCACCUUGUUACCCUUGAUGGCACCUAUCCCCUGUGUGCCUUGCUGCCCCUAGUGUCACUGGAAAAGGUCACCACACGGUAAGAACCCAAAACCAAGCACUUCUCCCGUUGCAAGAAUCAUAGAUCUAGUUGGCCAAACAAAACCCAAGACUCGGAGAGACUUACAAGGAUAUCAAAUCAUGCAUAUAAGAAGUCAGCAAAGACUCAAAUAUAUAUCAUAGAUAAUCUAAUCACAAAUCCACAAUUCAUCGGAUCUCGACAAACACACCGCCAAAGAGGAUUACAUCGGAUAGAUCUCCAUGAAGAUCAUGGAGAACUUUUUAUUGAAGAUCCAAGAGAGAGAAGAAGCCAUCUAGCUACUAACUACGGACCCGUAGGUCUUAAGUGAACUACUCACGAGUCAUUGGAGGGGCGAUGAUGUUGAUGAAGAAGCCCUCCAACUCCAAAGUCCCCUCCGACAGGGCACCGGGAAGGGUCUCCAGAUGAGAUCUCGUGGAAACAGGAACUUGCGGCGGCGGAACUCCCGAUCUAGGUUUCUUUCUGGAGGUUUCUGAAUUUAUAGGACCAUAUGGCGGUGGAGUUGCAUCAAGUGGGCCCCCGAGGGGCCCACGACCUUGAUUGGCGCGACCUAGGGGGUCGCGGCGACAGGGCUUGUGGCGCCCUCGGGACCCCCCUCUGGUAUCUUUUUCUUCCGGUAUUUUUGAUAUUUUCUAUAAAAAAUCAUCGCGAAAGAAUUAUUCCGUUUGGACUCCGUUCCAAAAUCAGAUCUGAAAAGAAUCAAAAACACAGAAAAAACAGGAACUCGCGCUUGGCACUGAGUUAAUAAGUUAGUCCCUAAAAGAUAUAAAGGUAAACAAAAUAUCCAAAGUUGAUCAGAUAACAGCGUGAAACCAUAAAAAAUUAUAGAUACGUUUGAGACGUAUCUGUUGGGUAACGUAGCAUAAAUUCAAAAUUUUCCUACGCAUAUUCAGAUCUUCCUAUGGAGAGACCAGCAACGAGAGAGGGGUAAGAGCAUCUUCAUACCUUUGAAGAUCUCUAAGCGGAAGCGUUGCUAGAACGCGGUUGAUGGAGUCGUACUCGCAGCGAUUCCGAUCUAGUGCCGAACUACGGCACCUCCGCGUUCAACACACGUGGAGCCCGGUGACGUCUCCCGCACCUUGAUCCAGCAAGGAGGAGGGAGAGGUUGGGGAAGAACUCCAACAGCACGACGACGUGGUGUCGAUGGAGAGACGAGGUCUCCCGGCAGGGCUUCGCCAAGCACCGGCAGAGAGGAGGAGGAAGAAGGGCAGGGCUGCGCCGAGGGAGAGGGAGAAGUCUAUCUCCCAAGGGCCAAAACCCCUCUCUAUUUAUAGGAGGAGGGGAGGGGGUGCGCCACCCCUAGGGUUCCCCCCUAGGUGGUACGGCAGCCACCAGAUGGGAAAGGGGGCGGCGGCUAGGGUGGGAGGGGGUGGCGCACAACCUGGUGGGCCUAAGGCCCACCUGUGCCUAGGGUUUGCCCCCCCCUUCCCUCUCCCCUGCGCAUUGGGCUAAGUGGGGAGGCGCACCAGCCCACCUAGGGCUGGUUCCCCUCCCCCACUUGGCCCACCUUACCUCCCGGGGUUGUUCGCCCCCCCUUUCGGGUGGGACCCCCCGGGGCCACCUCCGGUGUCCGAAACACUUCCGGUGUCCGAAACCAUCCGUCCUAUAUAUCAAUCUUUACCNNNNNNNNNNNNNNNNNNNNNNNNNNNNNNNNNNNNNNNNNNNNNNNNNNNNNNNNNNNNNNNNNNNNNNNNNNNNNNNNNNNNNNNNNNNNNNNNNNNNGACCUAUCAUGGUGAUGUCCAUCUACGAGAGGGGAUGAGUGAUCUACGUACCCUUGUAGACCGUACAGCAGAAGCGUUAGAGAACGCGGUUGAUGUAGUGGAACGUCCUCACGUCCCUCGAUCCGCGCCGCGAAUAAUCCCGCGAUCAGUCCCACGAUCUAGUACCGAACGGACGGCACCUCCGCGUUCAGCACACGUACAGCUCGACGAUGAUCUCGGCCUUCUUGAUCCAGCAAGUGAGACGGAGAGGUAGAAGAGUUCUCCGGCAGCGUGACGGCUCUCCGGAGGUUGGUGAUGACCUUGUCUCAGCAGGGCUCCGCCCGAGCUCCGCAGAAACGCGAUCUAGAGGAAAAACCGUGGAGGUAUGUGGUCGGGCUGCCGUGGAAAAAAAAUUGUCUCAAAUCAGCCCUAAAACCUCUGUAUAUAUAGGUGGGAGGGAGGGGGCCUUGCCUUGGGGCUCAAGGAGCCCCAAGGGGGUCGGCCGAGUCCAAGGGGGAGGACUCCUCCCCCCCCCCCCAAACCGAGUUGGACUACGUUUGGUGGGAGGGAGUCCCCCUUCCUUCCCACCUCCUCCUAUUUUUCUCUCUCUUGUAUUUUCUUCUCCUUGGUGCANNNNNNNNNNNNNNNNNNNNNNNNNNNNNNNNNNNNNNNNNNNNNNNNNNNNNNNNNNNNNNNNNNNNNNNNNNNNNNNNNNNNNNNNNNNNNNNNNNNNCGUCUCCUUCCCGCGCCGCGGCCGCGCCUCGCGGCCAUGCACCGCCGCGCGGUACUGGCCGCGGCCUCGUCCAGGCCCCYYCCCCCUCCCGCCCGCCGUCCCCGGACGGGAGGGGGACGGAGGAGGUGGAGAGGGCCAUGGGGAUGGACGGCGGCAUCCCGGGAACCUCCGGGGAGCUGCUGCGCCGCGUCUCCUCCCGCGCCUACGGCAUGCGCCGCCACCUCAUGGAGUCGCUCGACUCCCUCGCCUACGACGGUACGAGUCCUCCAGAGUCCAGAUCAUUAGCCCUUUCCUGGAUCGCGUUCUCACUGGCUCGAUUUUCCCAGGGUAUAUCUUUAGCGAUUUCAGUUAGAUAGAUUUAUGGUUGGUGAAUGGUGAUCGGCAGGUUUAGGUUCCCGCGUCUAGUGCUUGAUGAAAUGCCUAGUCGAAACUCCAGAAUCCUGAGUACACGAUAUUUGUGUGUACUUUAGAAUUGCGUGCCGCGAUGAACCUUAAGUUGAGCAAAGAGCAACUCCCGUUUGAGGCUUGUACGUUCACACUUUACCCUGUUUCGAGAAUUGCGUGCUUUGAGGUGGUAUUGGGAGUCAGUGGGACUGCGUAUGCUCAUAUGUACACGCUAUUAUCAACGCUUGCAGUCACGUUUCCUCAUUCUUUUUCGUAUUGCCUUUGCAUCGAAUGCUGAAUCGAUAUAUCUGCUAGCUAUGGUUGUGCUUGUGCUGCUUUCUGUAGCGCCGCAAACUAGGCCUAGUUGUUAAAUGGCUUAAUGACUGAAGAAGGGUUAUGAACUUAUGAUGCUCUCAUGCUCACAAGUCCCAAGUCACAAAUAACACCAUAAGGUUAAAACCAUAAAAAGUGACCUUGUUCUUCCGUUUAUCCAAGUAAUCCUUGUGAUGAACUAACAGUAGUUGUCCUUCAAAUGCGGAAGUUUGAAUGUUUACUAACUGUGCCAUGUCGUCAUGAUGGUUCAGUGUUGGAGACAAACCCAUGGAGGGAACAACAGCCCAAGCCAGUCUACGUCCUGGCUAGAAGAGACAAUCAACUAUGGACGAUGAAAACCCGCAGGAACCGCAGGUUAGAAUUUUUCUUGCUAUUGUUAAUGGUAAUUAGUUGGUCAUAAUUGGGUGGAUUAUGAGCACGGUCUCAUCAUGUAAUAUGCUCUGCAGUGAAGUUGAAAGGGAACUUGGAAUGCUUUUCUCAAAGGGAGGGGGCUCAGGAGUUGGGACUAAAUCCAAGUACUCUGGCUCCAAGUUUAGCAUGGUCGUUGAAGAUCUGACAGAGGGUGUGCUGGUGAGUAGUUAGUAAAAUGAGUGUUUGUUUAGACAUGUUCUUGAAAGUCAGCCAACUGUCCUGCCUUUUGAUGUCCUUUGGUCUUAUAGUGCAUAUUUUGGGUUCAUUUUUUUCGACAAAGAUAUUUUGGGUUCAUGGGAAUGUGACUUCUAAAUAAGUAAAUGGGGGCUAUAAAGAAGGACCAGGGAUUGGUCAAAUGGAGCUGGAUUAAAUGUAGGGUAUUCAUUAUAUAUAUUCUGAAGAAUGGUAGAUUAUGCAUAUUGUUCAUGACUGUAGGGUUCCCUAAUUGUAUACCAUAUUACCAUGGUCAUCUGUUUGAAGAACCAAAAGGACAAUACGAAAUUGUGCAGUCUAAGAAAGAGACUAUUCAAUAUCAGUGAUGAUGUAUUUAUGGAACUAGAAGUCGUCCGAUGGAGAGUGUGUGCUUGCCGUCAGGCAACAUACACGGACUAUAAGCGUUAUUAUAGGACCAUAUGAACAGUUCAACAUCGAUUAACCUUUCCACACCCCAAAAAGGAACGAUCGAUCUAUCAAUGCGGUGAACCUUAUUUGAGCUUAGCAUACCGAUAAAUGUUUGCAUUUUAAAUGAAUUUAAAUCCUGAUGUGGUAUCACUGAGCAAGAAACAAAGAACACAUGNNNNNNNNNNNNNNNNNNNNNNNNNNNNNNNNNNNNNNNNNNNNNNNNNNNNNNNNNNNNNNNNNNNNNNNNNNNNNNNNNNNNNNNNNNNNNNNNNNNNGCUUGGGGGAGUUGCCCGGUAUCGUAUCACCAUCACAUCUUUUGCCUUUACCUUUUCUUAGUUUCGAUCCUUUUUGGUUUUAUCUUUCUCUAGUAUAAUAAAGUUUUUAGUGUUUUAGGCUUGAGUUUUGCUUUGUGUCACCCCCGAUGUAUUCGAGUUCAUGAGCCUUAUAAUAAAGAGUGUCUUAGUUAAGGGCCUUGCCUCAUGCCAUGAUCAAGAGAAUGAUAAAAGAACAAAAGCAUGAAAGAUCAUGUAAUGAUCUUAUGGGAAGUGAUGGCUUCAUAUAUAAAAAGAAUGUUGAUUGAAACUUGUUGAGGGUGGACAAACGUAGACCUUGGUCAUUGUUGCAAUUAAUAGGAAGUGGUAAAGAAGGAGAGGUUCACAUAUAAAUAUAUCAUCUGACACCAUCUAUGAUUGUGAACACUCAUUAAACUAUUACAUGCUUAGAAGUAGAUGUUGGACAAGGAAGAGACCAUAAUGAAUUAUGUUUGCUUGGUUCCGAACAAUGAUUAUAUGACUAGAGAUCCCUUAGCAUGUGACGAUUGCUUCCACCUCAUAUCAGCCAAAACUCCCGCACCAAGUAGAGAUACUACUUGUGCAUCCACAAACCUUCAACCCCAGUUUUGCCAUGAGAGUCCACCAUACCUACCUAUGGAUUGAAGAAGAUCCCUCAGGUAAGUUGUCAUCGGUGCAAGCAAUAAAAAUUGCUCCCUAAAUAUGUAUGAUCUAUUAGUGUGUGGAAAAUAAGCUUUGUACGAACCUGUGAUGAGGAAGACAUAAAAGCGACAGACUGCAUAAUAAAGUUCUUUAUCACAGGAGGCAAUAUAAAGUGACGUUCCUUCACACUAAGAGGACACACAUCCAAACCCAAAAGCGCAUGACAACCUCUGCUUCACUCUACGAAGGACCUAUCUUGUACCUUUACUCUUUGUCCCUAAAAGAGUCAUGUUGAUCUACACCAAUUCCUUACCUCGCCUUUAUCUUGGCUAACGUCAUAUGCUAGGGAAAUAUCUAUAUUCAUAUGUCAACUUGGAAGUAAGUAUUCAUGAAUUAUUAUUGUUGACAUUACCCUUGAGGUAAGUAGUUGGGAGGCGAAACUAUAAGCCCCUAUAUUUCUCUGUGUUCAACUGAAACUUUGAUCUCAUGAGUACCACAUGAGUUGUAGCAAUUUUAGAAGACGAAAGGAUGAUUGAGUAUGUGGAUUUGCUUUACAAUCUCUUACUUGACUCUUUCCGAUGUUAUGAUAAAUUGAAAUUGCUUCAAUGACUAAGGGUUAUCGGUUGUUAAUUCUCAUUAAAGUUCUUGAUCCAUACUUUACUUUGUGAAGGAAUUAUCACUUUAGCAUAAGAGAUUAUAUGAUGAUAGUGCUGUUCUAACUAUGAUCAUGAUGCCUACAUGUCCGUAUCUUGUUUUGUCGACACCUCUCUCCCUAAACAUGUGGGCAUAUUUAUUGAUCUCGCCUUUCGCUUGAGGACAAGCGAGGUCUAAGCUUGGGCGAGUUGAUACGUCCAUUUUGCAUCAUGCUUUCAUGUUGAUAUUUAUCGCUUUAUGGAAUGUUAUUACACUUCACGGUACAAUACUUAUGCCUUUUCUCUCUUAUUUUGCAAGGUUUACAUGAAGAGGGAGAAUGUCGGCAGCUGGAAUUCUGGCGUGAAAAAGGAGCAAGUUUGAGAUACCUAUUCUGCGCAACUCCGAAAGCCGUGAAAAUCAACGAGGAUUUAUUUUGGAAUUUAUAAAAAAUACUAGACCGAAGAAGUACCAGAGGGGAGCCAGCAGGAGGCCACAAGCCUGCUAGGCGCGGCCUACCCCCCUGGCCGCGCCUAGGGGGCUUCUGGGCUCCCUGCUGGCCCUYUMGCCCCCCCUCUUCUUUUGCUAUAAKGGAGGGUUUCGUUCCAGAAAAAAUNAGAGGAGGCGUUUCGGGUAGGGAAUCGCCGCCCNNNNNNNNNNNNNNNNNNNNNNNNNNNNNNNNNNNNNNNNNNNNNNNNNNNNNNNNNNNNNNNNNNNNNNNNNNNNNNNNNNNNNNNNNNNNNNNNNNNNAAGGAGAAGUAGGAGAAGAAGGGGAAGGAGAAGGAAAAAGAGAAGGAGAAGGAGGAGGAGGAGAAGGAGAAGAAGAAGAAGGAGAAACAACAAGAGAAGAAGGAGGAGGAGGAGAAGAAGAAGAAGAGGGUGGAGGAGGAGGAGGAGAAGAAGGUGGAGGAGCAGAAGAAGAAGAAGGAAGAGAAGGAGAAGAAGAAGAAGCAGAAGGAGGAGGAGGAGAAGGAGAAGAAGAUGAUGAUUACAAUACUUAUCUUAUUUUGAGAUUAUUAUGUCAUUUAGUAGGAAGAUAAGCUAAGUAUAUGGCAUUUAUGAGCAAACCAAGGUUCUUAUGCUAUUUUUGACCUAACUAAGCUAAUUAUGUCAUAAAUGAACUAAAUAAGCUAAUUAUGUCAUUUUGGAGGAUAAUUAGCUAAUUACGUCAUAAAUGAAAUAAAUAAGCUGAUUAUGUCAUAAAGGAACUUUAAAAAAAGGAGGUUCAAACCCCCGACCUGUGCAUCAAUCGAUGCAUAUGACCAUUUUUAUUAAUUAUUCAACACAUGUCUAACAAGAACAUAUAUCAAACCAUCUGAAGCCACCACUCGCACCUACAAAACUCGAUAAUGUGGAGUGCGCUCACUCCCCAUAUCUAAAAUCGGUGCCGUCACCGAUACAUUCACAUAACAUAUCGAAACCCACAGCCGGUGCAGCAGACCUAAAGCGUACACCACAUGCACACGUUUUAGAUGCCGCCAUCAACAUCAGGCCGCUAACCCACCCAUAUUCAGGAGAGAGAUUUGUAUCAUCCUUGACAGUCCAUCCAUCCGUCGACGCCACCAUGGCUCGUCAGUCCAGACGCGAAGAUUCUGGAAGAUCUGUCGUGCGUAGCACCUGUCGACCAGACAUGACACAACGUAGCACCUAUCGGCCAGGCGUGACUUGACAUCUCCACCGAAAGCAACGUGCAAGAUGAUCGACGCCACCAUGGCGCCUGAUACGUCCAUUUUGCAUCAUGCUGUCAUGUUGAUAUUUAUCGCUUUAUGGGCUAUUAUUACACUUCACAGUACAAUACUUAUGUCUUUUCUCUCUUAUUUUGCAAGGUUUGCAUGAAGAGGGAAAAUGUCGGCAGCUGGAAUUCUGGCCUGAAAAAGGAAGCAAGUUUGAGAUACCUAUUCUGCGCAACUCCAAAAGCCGUGAAAAUCAACGAGGAUUUAUUUUCGAAUUUAUAAAAAAACUAGGCCGAAGAAGUACCAGAGGGGAGCCAGCAGGAGGCCACAAGCUUGCUAGGCGCGGCCUAUCCCCCUGGCCGCGCCUAGGGGGCUUGUGGGCUCCCUGCUGGCCCUCUAGCCCCCCUCUUUUUCUAUAAGGAGGGUUUCGUUCCAGAAAAAAUCAAGAGGAGGCUUUCGGGAGGAAUCGCCGCCGCCAUGAGGCGGAACUUGAGCACAAACAAUCUAGAGCUAUGGCAGGGUCGUCCUGUCGGGGAAACUUCCCUCCCGGAGGGGGAAAUCGUCACCAUCGUCAUCACCAACACUCCUCUCAUCGGAGGGGACUCGUCACCAUCAACAUCUUCAUCAGCACCAUCUCAUCUCCAAACCCUAGUUCAUCUCUUGUAACCAAUCUCCGUCUCGCGACUAUGAUUGGUACUUGUAAGGUUGCUAGUAGUGUUAAUUACUCUUUGUAGUUGAUGCUAGUUGGAUUACUCGGUGGAAAAUUAUAUGUUCAGAUCCUUGAUGCUAUUCAAUACCUCUCUGGUCAUGAAUAUGAUUAUGCUUUGUGAGUAGUUACUUUUGUUCCUGAGGACAUGGGAUAAGUCAUGCUAUAAGUAGUCAUGUGAAUUUGGUAUUCGUUCGAUAUUUUGAUGUGUUGUAUGUUGUUUGUCCUCUAGUGGUGUUAUGUGAACAUCGACUACAUAACACUUCACCAUUAUUUGGGCCUAGAGGAAGGCAUUGGGAAGUAGUAAGUAGAUGAUGGGUUGCUAGAGUGAUAGAAGCUUAAACCCUAGUUUAUGUGUUGCUUCGUAAGGGGCUGAUUUGGAUCCACUAGUUUAAUGCUAUGGUUAGACUUUAUCUUAAUUCUUCUUUCGUAGUUGUGGAUGCUUGCGAGAGGGGUUAAUCAUAAGUGGGAUGUUUGUCCAAGUAAGGGCAGCACCCAAGCAUCGGUCCACCCACAUAUCAAACUAUCAAAGUAGCGAACGCGAAUCAUAUGAACAUGAUGAAAACUAGCUUGACAGAAAUUCCCAUGUGUCCUCGGGAGCGCUUUACCUCCUAUAAGAGUUUUUCCAGUCUUGUCCAUUGCUACAAAAGGGAUUGGGCCACUUUGCUUCAUCGUUGUUACUUUUGUUACUUGCUACUUGCUACGAAUCAUCUUUUCACAUAACUAUCUGUUACCGAUAAUUUCAGUGGUUGCAGAGAAUACCUUGCUGAAAACCACUUGUCAGAUCCUUCUGCUCCUCGUUGGGUUCGACACUCUUACUUAUCGAAAGGACUACGAUAGAUCCCCUAUACUUGUGGGUCAUCAGCGCCAAACAGCACCACCGCCCUGCGCUCAUUCGUCCAGACACGAAGAUUCUGGAAGAACUGUCGUGUGUAGCACCUACCAACCAGGCAUGACUCAGCGUAGCGCCUGUUGGCCAAGCAUGACUUGAUAGUUCCACCAAAUCUUUGGGCCAGACGAAGCCGCUCCAUCUCCUGCUUCUGUCAUCCAGCGCUGCUCCACAAACGAUGCUCCCAAGAGAGAAACGGCACCGCAGUACCGCCAACGUCCGAUCUGGAAAGUCAGAUCUUAGGGUUUUCCCCGAAGCAGUGCCCACCACCAGCAACUGUCCAAGACCCACAUAGUGCCCACCACCACUCAGCCCUCAAGGCGACGCCUUCAGGAAGGUCACUACGUCAAGGACGCCACCGCCGCCCACCGGAGUUAGGGCUUUCACCUGAGAGGCAGUGAGGUAGGAAGUGGAGGAGCAGACGUAGACCAACGUCUCGAGAAAGAAAAACGGCGCCCUUGAGCAUCGUCGUCGGCGCGGCCAGCCAGGGCCGACCAAUGGGUUUCCCCUUAUCUGAAUCUCCUCCACCAGCUUCAUCCGCAGCCACGCCAGCAACGCCAGGAAACCGCAGGAAAGAAGCACACCACGGGUAUCUGGAUCAAUGAAGAUCCAAUCUGAACAGUGACGAGUACCACCACCCUGCGCUGGCCGACGACAUCCGGGUGCCGGAUCCAAAAGGAUCUGACCAGAACUCGACGACGCACGCGACCACCAUGUCUUUCCCCUCUCGCAUCGGCUACACCGCGCCGCAAGAACGAACCCCAGUCGUCGAUGCGCUCCGCACGCCGCCGCUAGGAUCCACAUGCAGCGUCGCCGCACCGCGCGCUAGUACGGCGCCUCCUGACGAACAGUCGUCCCGCGCCAGCCAUGCCGUGUGAAGGGGAGAGGAUCCCCGCCACCGCCACUCUCGGCCAGGCUUCGCCCGGCAACGCUGCUGGAAGCGGGGAGGAUGAAGGAGGAGCGAGGGAGGACCGACGACGACGGCUAGGGUUACCCCUGGUAGCCCACGGGGGCGACGGGAGGCGGCAGCUAGGGUUACGGGAGAAGGCGGCGACUCAGUGGAUGCAGGCGGCGGCUAGGGUUAUGGGAGGAGGAGGCAGCGGCUCUAGGAGUCGCGUCUCCUGUUAUGGUUUCAAGUCAUAAAGGAACUAAAUAAGAUAAGUAUGUCGCAUAAUAGGGCUAACUAGCAUAUACGGAGCUAAUUAUGCAUUUGUUAAGUAUAACACUAGAGAAAAUUUACCGUCGUCGUCAUCAGCGAUGUGAAUCACCGGGGUUGCUCGGGGCGGGUUCACGUGGAGAAGGUUGUCGUGGAGAAGGGUUGUGCUAUGCUGCUCAGGAGUUAUUCUGCAUCAAAGAUAUUUUGCAAUGUCUUGUUAACAUGAUGACACUCAAAUGUUAGUCUAUUAACUAAUGAUCAUUCAAAUGGAACUCAUCGUUCCAACCGUAGAAAUGUCUGACAUCGACGAAGGGGGUCUGACCGGUCUUCUCGCACAUAGACUGCAUAUUUGGUUUUAAAGAGUCAAUUAUAUUAGUUAGUAAUAAAACGGACAUUACAUGCAUGAUUUGGCUAAUGUGAAAAAAAACUUAUCACAAGGAGUUCAUACAUGGCCCGGUGAGCCGCCUCAUUCUGUACCCUCUCCUCCUCCAACAACUGAGUCGUCUUCUCCUCCGCGGCCUGAGCCGUCUCCGCCGCCACUCGGCCUGACCUAACAACUGUGUUUGUUUUCUGGGCUUUGACACUUUCCGAGUUCGUCUAUCUCGACAUAGUCGAUGGAGUUGCGAUGUAGAUUCUUGUUGUCUUCUAGGAAUGAUGAGGUGAGGAUUUCUCGUCGUACAUGCACGACGACGAGAUUUAAUGUCAGUUGCUUCAUAUCUAUUUGAGGAUUCAACGCCGAUGACGAGUAAGUGUCCAGGGCAAUGGUCUUUAGGACACGCCUACAAAUACUUUUCAACCGUUAAAGCCGACUCUGAUAGUGGAGCGGUGAUAGUAGUGCAUUGACGACUCGUUGCGACGGUGGUAGUGGUCGUUAGGUGGACUAGAGAGCUCGAUCUUAAUUUUACUNNNNNNNNNNNNNNNNNNNNNNNNNNNNNNNNNNNNNNNNNNNNNNNNNNNNNNNNNNNNNNNNNNNNNNNNNNNNNNNNNNNNNNNNNNNNNNNNNNNNANACGCCGCAGAGAAGGCAGCAGCAGCCAAGGAGAAAGCCGGCGGCGCCACGCAGACGGCCGCGGAGAAGGCAGCGGCAGCGAAGGACGCAGCUGCCAAGAAGGCCGGCGGCGCCACGCAGACGGCCGCGGAGAAGGCAGCGGCAGCGAAGGACGCAGCUGCCAAGAAGGCCGGCGGCGCCACGCAGACAGCCGCGGAGAAGGCAGCGGCAGCGAAGGAUGCCGCAGCCGAUAAGGCCAAGGCCGCGAAGGACGCGGCGUGGGAGAAGACGGAGUCUGCCAAGGACGCCACAUGGCAGGCGCAGGAGAAGCUCAAGCAAUACAACGACGUCGCGUCGGAGAAGGCCGGGAACGUGAAGGACGCCGCUGCGGAGAAAGCCGGCACCGCCAAGCAGGCGACCGCAGAGAAGGCAGCGGCAGCCAAGGAUACGGCCGCCGAGAAGGCCGCGGCCGCGAAGGACGCCGCGUGGAAGAACGCCGAGGCGGCGAAGAGCACCGUCAGUGAGAAGGCAGGAGCGGCCAAGGACGCCACGUUGGAGAAGACGGCGUCGGCGAAGGACGCCGCGUGGGAGACGGCGGAGGCGGCCAAGGACACGGCCUGGGAGACAGCGGAGGCGGCCAAGGGGAAGGCCAACGAGGGGUACGAGAAGGUGAAGGAGAAGGUCGGAGAGGUGAAGGACAAGGUCACCGGCGCGGCAGCCGACGGCAAGGCAAAGAAGCAACGCAAGGAAGACGAGCUGUGAAUGAGCACGAUCCAUCCUCAUUUCCUGCCAUAGCUUUUCUUCCAUGAAUGUUUUUCAGUGUUGGACUAGUAUUUUUUCUCUCUUAUGUUCCUAUUGUACAAUAAUGUGACCCAUCUGUAGAGAACCUUUGCACGAUAUCGAACAAGUUUCUUCUUCAAAGUUUUUUUGGCCUGAAAGAACUUUUGAAAAAAUAUUCCUUAUGAAUUUUGUUGGGCGCCUGAAUCUUGUACUCAAAAUUGGAGCUGGGACUGUCUGUGAUGUGUACAUGAUGAACAAGACGACUAGUAUGCAUGAGCAUCUUCUUCCCAAAUCUAAUUGGAAAGAGCUGCGUCACACGAUUACCACCGGCAUGACUACGAUGAUACAUCUUAUCUUACCU